AUUCAGCCAACCGGUCGGGCGCCUGUGAUUAUUACGAGGAAUAAACGGUUUGCUGAUCCAAGCACUUCAGAAGAUUGAACAGGAAAAUCAUGCUCCAAGGUAAGUAUCGCCAAACGACGUGUUUGUUCAGUGUUUAUAAAGAUGUUUGAUUGCUUGGCUUGAUGCUGACAGUUUAAAAGGACUUUGGUCAUCAGGUAGCUCGGUAAAUUACGCGAACAGGUGAAAGGACACAGCAAUGCGUUGGCUAACUGUUGAGCCACUUCGAAACUACAUUUACAGGUUGAUUUAAUUUGAUUAACGUGCAUGUAAUUGUUGGAGGUGCAGUAGAAGUGGGUUGAUGUACUGGAGUGCAUUUCUGAUCAUGUCAUGAAAAAUUAAACACUCAGAAGCUUCCUAAAAGUAAAAGUUGAGGAAGAGCGUUUGUAUUGGGUUGGAUUAGAUUGCCCAGGUGUUCAUAACUUUAUGGUUGGUUGGUGUGUUUGCUGAAAGAUGUGUUCUGAAAGAGCUUAUUAUGGUAAUUGUUUUUUUUUUUUUUGAUCAGGUAGCUUUGCUUGAGCCUGAACAAUGCAAAAAUGUGUUCAAAUGUUUUUUUUUUUUUUUUCCGAAAAACGGGCAGCAAUAAUUAAUUUCACUUUGGUAAAACCUGUCUUUCUCUUUCUCUCUUUUUAGGCUGACCAAACCAGUCAUCUUUAUGAGUUAAGUAAUUUCUUUAGUUGAGAUUAGUCAAGAUUUCUAGUUCCACUAUCAGCAACUACAUAUCUUGCAUCAGAAACUCGAACAGCUUAAUUUCCAAAGUUGUGUUCAACCAAAAGUAAAGCAAAACUUAAAAUUGUGUGACUUCCAAAGAUUAUGUUUGUUUAGGAAAAUCACAACCUAAGCACUUUCCCCUCUGCUAUUAUGUUUAAACACCAAAUGCUAUAAUUUUGGGGAUCAGGACAUUACCUGAGCAUUUAUACAGCUUGCUUGAAUUUACUGUCCUCUCAGGGGAUUGUGAAAAGACGAACUUUUCCAGUAUCUUGAGGCUGUUUCCAUGUAGCUAGUAAGUCACAUCAGCUGCUUUGUGGUUUAUUCCAGCAGGUGUUAACAGAUUACGCUGUGAUUUUAUAUCAACCACCAGGUUAAAAAGAAGCCCAACUACUUGUUUGGUAUUAGCCAAAAGAUAGGUUAAAAAAAUAAAGAGUUUGCAGAUAGCAGAGUGUUUUCCACUCUUUCCAGGAGAGUGUCUUGCUUGUAAUUUUCAGUUUGAGUCAAUAGUUGAAAAGUGUUUAUGUUUUAAAAGGAUGGUGUGGUUUUUUGUAAGGCUGGUGGUAUAAGGUAUUUGUCAUGAGUAAGGGGAUCUUGAUUGCUGUGCUGCUCACUACUGUUUUAGUGUGGUUGUAUUUUUUGUCUCCAGUCAUUGUUCUGCAUGGGGAGGUACAUGUCUGUGUUGCAUCCACAAAUAGUGCAAAAACAAAGUGGCUUUCUGAUAUCUGAGUGCAGUGGUGAACUGAAAUCAAUGUUUGGGUUGGACUUUAUGAAUACAUUUGACCCUGUCUGCAGCAGUUCAUAGCCUACCUCCCAUCUCAGUUCUCAGCAUCCCCUGUGGGUAAUACACUUACAAUUCAUAAAAACUUCAAAGAACCCUAAUUUCAAAAAAAGAUCUUUGGAAAAAACUUUUUUUUUUGAAAAGAUCAAUUUACAUUUUAGCUAGUAGCACAUACUAUCUUCUCUCCCCUACAUCUCCUCUCAAUAGUUGGGUGGCCACUGGCCUCUGAGUGCUCAUUCAGCCUUUGGCCUGGCUCUGUGUUGCAAACUAGUUGACUGAGGAUACUACACCUUGUUUGUCUGGUUUGAUUAAAACUGCCAAGUUAGUGCAUUUAAUUUGAGCUGGUGUGAAAGCCAUACACCAAGGUAUCAUUCCCAGUUAAAUAACUACUUUCAAUCCAUGGAUUUAGUUACACACACUUCAGAAACACAAGGCAUUGCUUGGUGCUACAAUUCCUGGUGCUACUCAUUGGCAUCCCCCUUAUUCCACCUCUUUUACCACUGAUGGUGGGGGAUCAGACGUGGAACAACUUUGUCUCACUUACUAAGCAACAACGUCAGAGCUUGUGUCUCUUCGGUUCACAAACCAAUUCAACAUUCAUACUCUACAUUCAUACUCUCCGUCUGUUUUUUUAACUCUUAUCCGCAACUAACUAGGGUAUACUUCAAAAUACAAGCUUCAUUUUGAUAUGAGGGAAGAAGCUACCUAAACACAAGAUGAGAAAAAAACAAAACAAAAAUGUGACAAACGGUUGUUUUUAAGUUAAUGUCUUCUCCAUAGAACAGUCAAAGGGUUGGUUUUAUUGCUAAAUCACAAACUUGGACAUCAUUUGAAAUGGAUUACGAAAUGAAAGUCUCUUGUGUUCAUUGGUGAAGUUUGUGAAGUAAUGUGUAGUCCCACCCCUGUUUUGCCUUACCUCAAUUUAAUGAAUGUGUUGGUUUUUGGAGGGGUGGCUGUGGCUCAGUGGUAGUCAGUCGUUUCUAAAUCAGAAGGUCAGAGGAACCAUCCCAGGGCUGUCCACAUGCCAAAGUGCCCUUGGUCAGGACACUUGACCCCAUUCACCCUCACUGGCUGUGCCCAGUGGUGUGUGAAUAAAUUAGUCAAAAACUAAUGGACUCUAUCCAUAGCAGCCUCUGCUAUCAGUGUGUGCAUGAGUGAAUGUGACAUGUGAUUAGUGCUUAGGGUCGUCAGAAUACUGGAGAAAGUGCUUUGUAAACAUGGUCCAUGUGUCUUCCAGUUUCCCAAAAGUAUUUUGAUAAUAUUGUCAAUGUGAGAUUGAAUGGCCAUGAUAAAAUAGAGUGAUAAUGUGAUGUUGUUGGAGCAUACGCAUUUUGUCCCUCUCCUCAACAAAGCAGUCGUUUUUGGAUGUUUGGGUUUAUUGUCAUCUUCUGUUAUUUUAAUGCAGCUGUUUGUACACAGUGUAAUUUUUAAUGCUAUCGUGUUGUAGUGUAAGUUUCCUCUUUGUGUGAUUUUGCUGCAUUGGCAGAUCACGGAUGAUGGUGGAUAAAAGCUGAACAAAUUUAUCAUUUUUUAAGAAGAAAACACAAAAAAGGAGACAGUAAAUUGGGAUUAACAUUAUGGUAAAAGUAUUAACUAUUUUCCCCAAACAUUCAUAUUCGGAUAAUUCAAAAUAUUUGUUUUGCUGCUUAAACUAGCAGUAAAUAUCAGUCAUUCUUAAUGAUCUAUUAUGUGUUUUAUUGUUAAUUUGAAAUCAAGGUUACUUUGACAAACCAAAGAGCUUGUGGAAGUAGUGUGAUUUAAAAUGUGACCCUGACUUAUGUAUUUGAUGUAUUUUAUCUCAGGUCAAACUUGAAAGGUUGCAUGCUCGUAUUCCCUGUCCGUGUUAUUCAUUAACGGCCAGAAAUCCUGACCGAUUAGAGAGUAUUGGUAACAAGCUUCAUAUGUUGUGGUCUAAAUGUGAAAGUCUUUGUGUGAACACAGACCAAAAUUGAGGCAAUUUUGAAGGAAUGUAACAAACUGCCUGACAGAACAGACCAGAGAAAAUGAACAGUAUAAAGAUAGAUGUGACAUGACAAUGUUGCAUCAAGCCUGAUCCUUCCUCCUUAGCCAAAGCCAGAAACUCCCCUGUUCUGCCUCCUCACCCAGAUCUUUGAGGGCCUUUCUUAAUUUAUGACCUGAAACCCACAUACUCCUCAUGAAGUGGGGUAGAUUUUCCCACAAAAAGCAUUUUUUACCAGUCAGCUAAAUUUUCCUGGUAUGCCGUUCAUCUGAACUGUGUGUCUGAAGGACAGCAGUCUUCAAUUCCCAAAUGUGAAUGAAAUAAGUGAUGGUAAUAUACUUCUCCAUAGUGAGACCUGUCCAUGCAUCUGUGAUGACAACCACUUUGCAAAACAGUCCUCAAUUCUGCUGCACUUUCCUCAAACAUGCUUCAACUCUUGAUGAUGUUGUCCAAAGUGAUGGUGGCUUGUACUUCAGCUCACAGGAGCCUUCCCCUUUCACCAAACCUAAUGGGAGCAUGUCUCCAGUCACUAUUUUUGUUACUAGCAGGCUAAUCUUCUCCUUCACCAGCUUUAAGUGCAUGUAGUUGAGCAUCAAACUAGUAUUUCUAUGAUAUAUAGGUUUAACACCGCACAUCUUGCACAGUGUUUUAUUUAGGGGUGGGAGAAAAAAUUGAUACAGCAUAGUAUUGCGAUAUUUUGUCUGGUGAUAUAUCAUAUCAUCUCAUGUACCAAGGAUUGAUAUUUUUCAAAUUAAUUGCUAAUUUGAAGUCAAAUCUAUAUUAAUGGAAAAAUAAAAUCAACUGUUUGUCCAGUGAGGUUGGCAGAGGUGACAUCAUAGAACAGGAGAAAGUUAGUGCAACAAAUAUAGCAGCACCUGGGGAAAGACAUUAGGGAUACAAGUAAAUGACUAAGGUUUGCAAGAUGUGCUACAUGAAAAUAAAAUACUGUGUGAAUCAGACAAUAGUAAAGGAAAGACAAAAGCUAAACCACUGAUUGUAUAAAUAAAUAAAUAAAUAAAUAGUAUAAAUAUAUGGUAUCGCAAUACUCACUGUAUUGCAAAAUGUUAAAAAUUGCAAUAAUAUCGUAUCGUGGCCCAAGUAUCGCGAUAAUAUCGUAUAGUGGGGCCACUGGUGAUUCCCACCCCUAGUGUUAUCAUUGUCCUCAAUGUAAAAAUACUUCCACAUAUCACUAUUUCUGGACAUGGCUGACAUGGUGCAUGUAUAAAGCUUACUGAGUUGUGGUACUCUAACCUAGAAUAACACACAUGCAGGAGUGUUGUAACAAUACUUGAGUAGUAAUGAUAACAAGUACUCAACUACUCGGGUAUCCAUCCCCAUCCCUUCCUGAAGCUGAUCUUAUCUUAAUACUUUUACUCACUGCAACCUUGAAAUUGAUCUGAAAACUUAGUAGCCCAUGAAAACCUAUUAAGACUUUUUUUUUGUUGUUUGACUUUGUUGCUGUCUUGAAGUUCACGACUUGUGCUGCUAAGUUCCUUCACUUGUGUCUUGUAGAUCUUGUCAGCAAUGUAGCUUUUGAAAGUCUGUUUUGCCUUUUGCUCAGGAGACAUCUUGAGGCUGAGACACUUAGAUCUUAGAAUAGAUAUUUCUUCUGUCUGACUGCUACUAUUAUUAUCAUUAUUAACCUGAUUCGCCAGGUAGACUGUUUCACAUAGAUAGAUUGAGCAUGGAAAGGUUUAAUAUCCUUUGGGCCAACACCCCACAGACAGUGUGUGGGAGGGACAGAACCUUUCAAAAGAAAAGUUUGAGGCUGAUUGAUUGAUUGAAUUUUCUAUCACAGUAAAUAGGGUCCAAUCAAAGCAACAAUACAUAUGAUGUAGUAUGUGUUCACUGCCAGGAAGUGAACUACAUAACCUGCACUCAACAGGCACUAUGUAAGCUGAUAGGUUCAACCAUAGACUGUGUAUAGAAUGGACAAUGUCUGCCUCCUCGCUGGGUGAAGCCAACUUGAGAACAGCACCCUCUGGUGACGGGCUGCAGUAUAGGUCAUAAAUCCUGCCUUCUCAUCAAUCCCUAUGGCGCUGUGGACAAAUUUUAUGAUUUAAUUACACAGAAUAUAAUUUUUUCUCCCCCCCUGGUUGCGAUGUUGACAUGUAGUUACUGUAAGACUGGUUUGUGCUCAAGUCCUCUUUUUUUCUGUACAGCUCCAUUUUUAAAAGUUAUUAGGGAGUUCAUAUUUUCUAUGAUUGACACUUGAUACAGCCUAAAGACGUACGAAGAUUGCAUAUCUCACCCCGGGGAUACACUGUUUGAGCCGAGCGUCAUCACAGCGACUCUCCCACCGAAUGCAUACAAUGCUACUUCGCAAGUGGUGGAGUGCAUACAACGCUAUAAUAUACCAAUAAAUAAAUACCAAUAGCUUUUCGGCCACAAAUCCGCAUACUGGCAGGAGGCACAACCAAAUUGUCCAUACAGUCUAUGGUUUCAACUAAAUUUCAGACCAAAGACCUUGAAUUACUCUGAAUUAUGCAACUUUAUUUUUACUACACAUCCUUUUGCAUGAGCUCGUCAACAGCAAGUCCUCUAAAGUUUUCACAACACACCUCUGAUAUAUUUUCUCAGCUCUGAUAAAACUGUGGCUAUGACUGCAUCCAUGCCACUAUCUCCACAGGCCACAUUACAGCCCGAUAUGUAAAAACCACCUGAAUUGAGUAAAAAAGAAAAAGUAAUAACACCCAAAUGUAAUAACUGACCAAAAAUGUUACGAAUUCUUACAUUUUGGGUAAGAAGUUAUUACGUUUGGGGCUCAGCAUUAUGUGACAUUUUGGGUCACUUAUUACAUUUCAGAUUUUAUUAACUUUUAUUUUAUUACACUCCAGGUUGCUGUAGAUCAUUGUUACACAUCGGGCUCUAACAAGCUUGCAGCCACUUCUUGCAACAACAGCUAAAUUCACCUGUAGCUAUCGCCUCUGUCUCUUCAAAUGACACUGAUUGGUUCGGUCCUUUGAAUCUUUGAAAGAUGAGUUUACCUGGUGACGGAUAUGGAAUCUGCACAACCCUCAGCUUUGCAAGGCUGUGAGAUGUCACAUCAAAUCAUGGGCGUAGCGGACGCCCAGUAUCCGCCCCUUCUGCACUGUUCUGGCCUGUAAUCUUGCUCCUGAACAAUCAGUCCCCCUAACUUUUGAAAUGAAGGCUACACCCCUACCUCAAAUGUCUCCAUUUUAAAGCAGGCUUGUUUUUUUUCUGUAAAUGCUCUAGCAAUGGUGGUGUUAAAAUCUCUGUUACAGUGAAGAAACCUCGUGCUAAACGGUUUAAGCUUGGCAUUUAGAACUGCAUACCUCUGAUUAACAGGGUUAUUUAACCAUUUGUUUUAAUUUCAUCUGUAGGCUCAAUCAUUUAUCUUUCUGGUCAUAUAUGGCUUUACCAUCAUAUUUGGUCACAAAUGCAACUAUCAGUAUUGUUUAAUUUAGAAAUAAAAAAUGAAAUUAGCCCUAAUGGUUAUUAUUGAACCUUAAUUGCAGACUUUUAUUCUGCUGACAGGAUAUGUAUUCACAUUCAGGACAAUGGUAGUUUUACACACAAAUUAAAUAGUUAUUGGUAGGAUAUAGAAAACACAUGCGCUCCAACAAAAUCUUUAAGAAUAUCACAUAUAAAAGUCCAGAUUUACCUUCCUUAGUUCUUUUUCUUUUUCAAUAUUCAAGAUUGGUUUGUUUGCCGUAUGCAGGUUAAACAUCGUCAACAAUGCAAUGAAAUGCCCUGGAUGAGAAGAACCGCUUGACCCAAGAAGGUAAAAAUAACACGCAGUAAACUACUAAGAAGAAUACAAUAGAAUAAAAAUACACAAAUAUUUAUAUGCAUGCUUAAUUAGAUACUCAGGGGUAAGGUGUAAAAUCAAAGUAAGGCAGUAUAUUUUAUGAAUAACUCUUAUCUACGAGUUCUAUGAUCCUCACAGCAAAGCUGUUUCUCUGCUGUCUCACCUGUAAGACUAAAACACAUUUCUUAUAUAAUACUUCAACUCAGACUGAAGCUCAGAUGGUACUGAAUAGAUGUUAUAGAGCACUGUUUUGAGUAUUUAGAUCUAAUUUUGUAAACCAAAAAAUAACAUAUCAAUCAUAAACAACAUUUCAGUUUUUCUGUCCAUGACAAUAGUCUUUAUGAGGGAUUGAGUCAUGCAUUGUCUGUUCAGUACACCUCACUACAGCUGCUCUUUGCUGCUCUGGUAGCACUCUAAAUUUUGUACACUAGAUGUCAGUAGGCUCUCACAUUUAAGAUUGAGUUUUCUGGCACUAAUGUUGUUUCAUAUCUUUAACUUGAGUCAAAAAAUAUGAUCAUAGGUAAGCAAAAGAAUGACCCCUUAUCUUGUCUUGCAUUUAAAUUUCUCUGUGGUGCAAUGAUACAAAAGUUUGAACUGAAUAAGUCUAGUUUUCGCUGCACACACCUGGAUCUGUGAUAAAAGACCUGGAUUACCCUUUAAAUUAGGAAAAAUCAGGUGAAAGUUUUUAAAGUAAUGUAUGGUAAAUAUAGGCCAUUAUCAAACUUGUUUUGUUUUUAAAUUCAGCACAAGGUGAAGCUGAUUGUUGCUUGUUACCAGGGAAUUUAUGUCCUUUAUUCUUUCUACAAGCUACCAAAAGAGGGUGACAUUACGUUAAAAAUAAGGACAAACACGGGCUCCUCAAAUAAAACCUCCACCUAUUCUGCAGUCUGAUUUUGUGGCUCUGUUUUCUCCAUGUCCCUCUCUUCAAACCAUUUAAUUUGCAGAAUAAAUCUGUCUGCAGAUUUUAGUUCAUCCAUUAUUUUUAUUAUUUAAAAAAAAAAAAAUUGCUAAAUAAAUCAGACCGCUGCCAUCUACUUAUCAUUUACUAAAAAACUCACUUGUUUGUGUUCUUGUCAAUGCAUUGCCUCCUUACUUAGUGUGAAGUUCUGGAUUGCAAAGCUGGCACAAGGAGUCAUGUGAGACUGCAGUCAGAAGAUGGCAAUGGUGUCAGGUUAUUUUUUGGCUGUCAGUGUUGGGUGGGCUGGACAAGCAGCAGCUCCGUGGUGAGCAGGGCUCCUUUCUGCCUGCUGGAGAUCUUGUACUGGCUGCUUGAGUCAGCCCUGAGCCGCUCUCCCCACGCAGGGUUCCCUUCACCAGCAUUCACCUAAAUCUGUCACACAGAUUUGACACUGCGUCACUUGGAGUGCACUCUGAAAUGACAUGUAUAUAAUGUGGAAUAUUGUGCACAUUUACAGCCUGGACUUCCCUUAGAGCAUUAACGCUUUUCUUCUUUUUUUUUCAUGUUUUUUUUUUUUUUGUGGGAAAAAACAAGGCUCAAAACAAACACAUUUAUUUUAAAGCUUUUAAUAUUAUGAGUUAUUUUCCAUCUAGAGCUAUUGUUUUUAUUAUUCUUAUUUGAACUGUAUAAUACAUUUUUAGUAUUUUGCUGACCGUCUAGAUUAUUUUCAUCAAUAGAGAAAGCAUUAAAAAAAUGUUUUAAAUGUUUAAAUCUGUGCAUGGGUUAAGAGAGAGGCGGAUGAUUUUUGUUGAAAGCUCAUACGGGGACUGAGUGGUGUCUCAAUGUUUCUUGUGACAAGUCAAAAUUUUUACCGUCAAACUUUGGGCAGCUCAAGGCCAUAAACCUAACAACCCAAAUCAGCUCAAAUUAGGCUCUUGACUAUUUAGGCGUGAGAAAUUACCCUAAAUGAUGUCUCCUAUCAUUUUCCCUGUGAGAAAACAAUUUACACUGAUCCUGAUUUUAGAAUUAAUUAAUUUCAACAUCCUUUUAUUCAGAUAAACACUCUAUGCAAUAAAAAUAGAGCUGAUGAUAAAACAGAUGCAGAAUGAGCAUUUUCCUAUUAAUGUAUUAAUCGGUGUAAUCGUUAAUUGUACAGAGCAUUAUAUUUUCUUGCCUAUUUUAGAGCCUUUUUAUUUCAGAGUUAAUAUAUUGAUAUAAAUUUUCUAAAUGCAUAGAAAACCUUGUUCUGCUCCAGGUUUCCACCAUCUGCCAUAAACCCUUGUUUUGUAUUUCCUCCUGCAUGGAGAAAGUUGUGUAUUGCACAGAGAGCAGGCAUUGAACUGAGAGCCCAUCACCCGAGCUCACUUCUUCCCCCUUAUACGGCUUUGGCUCUGUCGCUUUCUUCUGCAGGGUUUACUGGAUAAACUGGUGGCAACUGGCCUUGGUGGCCAGUAAGACGGAUUUUCUCUCCCCAGCUGGUGUGGCUUUGCUUGUUUUUGCUGCACAUUGUGCCUCAAAAACUGGGUUGUUGUUGUUGUUUAGCAUUCUGUUUGCUAGAAGUCAAAGAUUUGAAUAAACGGUAUGAUUGUGAGACGAUUUUGUAGUUUCUGAUGUUUGUGUCUUUAGAAGCAGGCCUAAGGGGAUCAUUACAGUUCACCUGUCUGGUGAAGAUGAGAAGUCAUGGACGUCUGCUCCUUUGGGAAUCUCUGCCUCUUUGAAAAGAAAAUAGAGGUUAAAAAUCUGCUAAACGAGUUAGCAGCAACCAGAAUCCUUCUCUUCUUCAGGUAAUGAGUUUGAUUAAUUUUUGACCUUUGGAAACUUUUCACUCCUUUUUAAGCCCCCUUUUAUAUUUUGCCCUCCCUGGGAUAAUAAUGAGCUUCUACAGGGUUUCACACCGAGAACUUGAAAGAGCACACAGUUUGCAUGUGAACUACAUAGGUACACUUUAGACAGAGAAGAAAACAGCAAUUACACUUUAUAUCAUCAGCAUAUUCCAGUCCGAUUUUUAAUGUUAGAAAAUUAAACCAAACACAAAUGCUCUAGUGCCCACAAAAGGAAAUACUCUGAAAAAAGCAUGCACAUUGUUUAAGAUUCUUUCCGAACUUUACAGGAGGUCUGAAAGAACUUUUUGGCCUAUAAAUAAUAAUGCAGGGGAUGCUUAUUUUCUCACACAGGUGUUUAGAGAUCCUCUCUCUGAUAAAUCAUGAUUUGUAAACUUUCCCAUAGACAGCAGUGACAGGUUUCCUCUGAUAAUGUAGAAAAAUGGGGAAAGAGAGGGCUGGGCUUAAGUAGAGCUGUGAUUUAGAGCAGAGAGAUGCAGCAUCUCUCCUUUCCAGAGGAGGCCCUCCUGGGUUUGAUUUAAUUCUCUCCUUGCACUAUUAAAAAGGCCUUCCACUCUCUUCACUGCAUGCACCUUGCUGUCAUAACUGGCACAAAAUCAUUUAUCAAUGCCGCUUGUAGGCAGUGCGACUAAGGCCUUUCGCAGUGUAUAUUUUUCCAUUAUUGAUUGUGUAUGUAAUGCAUGAGGAAGUACAAAGAUGGGUCUCCUCCUGUGUUGGAAUGACCAUAUUAGGCCAGCAGAUGAGGGGCCUUUUGUUUUUUUGGCUUCAUCUAUAAUCCAUACAGCAAUCAUCGUCCCCUGGCGGGAAGGAAACUUUGUCCUGAAAAUGCUUUUUCAUUUUCGUUGUUGUCUUACUGUCAGCUGAACUCCACAGUGAUCCUGCGCUGGACGUACGACCAGCUGUAUUUGGUGCAAUAAACUGAAAGGCGGUGAAUGUCAGUGUCCCCCUUUGUUGUUUAAUUUAUUUUCUUUUCAAAGUGAAGGGAGGUGUCCGUGCUGUGAGAGUUAGUCAUUGAUGUGGCUAUAGUUAGUCCGUCCCCCGCUGUGACUGUCUGUAGGAGAUGCGACUUCCUCUCUCUCCUGCUCGCUCGCCGUUCAUGGCUUCCUUUCGCCUCGCUCGGUCUGUUUGACUGCAUUUUGUAUGGAGCUGGGUGCACUUGAUCAAGAACAAAAGAUUUAAGUGUGAAGUACAGCUCUGAGAGUCAUACUGCUCCAGGGUCAAACCAAGUCUAGUAACCUUCUCAACAAAGCUUCUCAAGAGACUCACACUUUUGGGAGAUCAGUUUGUGCCUUUUUGACUUUAAUAAGUAAGAAUAUUACCAGACUUCUGGUCUCUUUUUGUAGUUUUUAGGUCCUCCUAAUGUCACAAAAGUAUGAGUGAAGAAUCUAUGAUUCUUUGCUGCGGGUGUCUGACCAUCAUUUCUCGUCUUUUGGCUUACUUUUUGGAGUUGAAAGCUGAUUCGUCCAUGGCGUCAUUCAUAGUUUUUGCUUUCAAAGUCUGCAUCAUUUGCUGAUUUUGCUGAAUAUUCAGGGUUCCUACGCAAGUAUGGGACAUAUGGAAAUAAGUUUUAUCAAUUUCCAGGUCUUUAAAGUAUGGAAAAUGAAAAAUAAAGUAUGGAAAAUAUUUGUUUCCAGACUGUUGCCACAGUUCUGAAAUACUGUUUUCUAAAACAGAAAAGUAGGUAUUUCCAAAAAUAAUUCAAAAACGUAGGGUAUGGAAAAGUAUGGAAAUUCCAACUGUGUAGGAACCCUGAAUAUAACUCGUAUAAAGGAUGUAGGCUUCAGAAUUUAAACUUAUAUUUAUUUAAGAGAAAUUGGUGUAAAAAAAACGUCAUUUUUAUUUGCUGAAUGUGGACUUCUCUGUUGAACAAACUCCAUUUGUUACAUCUAAAGUUAUAAUGAUACUAAAUAGUUUUAUCAACAACAAACUAAUGGUCUUAUCGGCGAUUGGCGAGCGCACUGCUCAAUAAGCUUAAGGUAAAUGGAAAGAAUCUAUUACAGGCUGAGCGCCCUUUAUCUCAGCUGUCGUGAAUAUUGACACUUACAGUAAUUUGUCCCCAUUUUCCAUCGAUUUCUUGUUUUGCUUUCAGGUUAUGCUGUAAACAGCGCAAAUAAUGACAGAUUUGAUCAGAGCUCCCUUCAGAGAUGAUCCACGCGUAGCUGACUAUGUUGCCGACAAAGUCCCCUCAUCAGCUGUGUAACUAAUGACAGUUUUUGGAGAGGGACUAUGACAGUCAUUCAGGCUGUGACAUCUCUCAGAAACAGAUUAGGCAUGUUGUCGAUGCUGCGAAGGGGCUGUCUGACACCUGAAGACAAUGAUCAGAGCUGGCAUGGGAUGUGUUAGUUUGCUAAUUAUAAUUUAUAAGUGAGAUGAAAGGAGGCGGGGCUUUUACUGCAGUUCAGUCCAGAGAGAUGAACCCAAGCAAGAAAUAAAAACUGAGGAGAAACUAUGAAAAAGAUGCAGAGAAAUGUUUGAAGGAUUUCACAGUUAGGUUAGAAAGUAAGAUUUUCUUCACUUUUAUGUCUUCUUUUUGCAAAUGCAUAAUGCUCUUUUGAUUGUGCGUGUUCUAGUGUUAUAAAACUGCUCCCUCAGAGUUUCACUAGAAAGUUUCUAUCCACUAUCAUUUUGAAGAUUUGUGCACAAAACUGUGAUGUCUUUCCUGGGUUUUAUCACUUCCCUAUCGACGUCUGGAAUGCAUUGGUAAGCCAGGCCUCCAAGGGCUAGCAUAUAGCAGCGUCUGCAGGCUUUGUACAGGAUGAAGAAGUCAUAAUCCUCAAACAGACUUAAAUUCCUCCAGAAAGGCUCUUGAUCCUGAAUCCACUCAUUUUCUUCAAACAACCUGGCCCAAAAGAGAAGAGAUAUUUGGGCACGGCUGAAAUCCUUGAUUGAAAUCUGCUACAAGUGGGCACAGACACACGUGCACAAGCACACACACAUACAACCGAUUACACACAGGUGUGCAUGCACGCACACACACAAACAGCCCUCAUGUGCACAUUUACACAUGCACACACACUUCCCCAGCCGCUCCCAGCUGUCGGCGGGAGCCCGGACCGUCUUGUUGAGAGGGGCUCUCUGAGCUCUUAUUAAAAGGUAAACUUCUCUAAGGCCAGGGAAUCAUGUCAAUCACAGGUUGUGUUUUCGCACUGAGCCCAAAGCCUGCUCUCUCCACCCUGUCAGACGCUGUUAUCACCCUCAAAGCCAUAUCAGAAUGCUGUUUGUUCUGCGCUUUAGUUUCACCCACACAGUGGAUUCAAAAAGGUACAGGUCUAUUUGAUAGUGUAUAUUUCAUUGCCGGAGAGAGACUGUGUUUGUCUUGCUGUGUUUGUCAGCUCAUAUUUGAGCUGAGGGUUCCUAUUAAAACUAAACACCAUAUCAGAGGAAUAUUGCCACUGCCAGGCUCUUUUAAAUCGCAUAUCGUGCCCAUGGAGUUUGGAAGCAAUUUCGUUGUAGCCUUGUUUAUAACUGUGUCUGUGCUUUUGAUGUUUCUGUUUACUCUUGCUUCUCAUUUAUUUACGCAUAGUAGCGUGGCUGCACAUAUCUCAUAUACUGUAAUAAUUGUUUUACUGAUAACAUCAUUUCUAUUUUCAUAAAAAAAAUAUUACCUUGUUUGCAGUUUCACUUAUUGAAUGAAUCUCCCAUGAGAGUAGAACUAUUUUUAUUGAGCAGCAGGCAGCUAAGACUUAGGAAACUUCACAUACCUUUGUUAUUUUCUCCUACUUUAAUAUGUUUUGUGCUGGAGAUGAAGUUGGGUUGGUAACAGCACCAUGUUUGUGUUUGUCCUAAAUUUGACCACUGCUCACUGGGAAACGACAGGACUGGUAAUGACUUUUAGUUUAAGCUGUCAGGACACUUCCCUUCGAUACUUCCUCAUGAUACUUGACAGAGUUCUGUGAUGAAACGGGUUCUGAUUUUAUAUUUGCUUAGUUCUAGCUAAAUCUGUAAAAAAUGCCUCUCACCAUGAAUACUGUUUAUCUUAAUUUUAUCCUUUCUAUCUAAAUGAUUGUGUUAGUAAUAGCUCGUCAUUUACCAGCAUUUAGAAGAGGAAAACAACAGUAAAUUAGUGACACACUUCCCGUCAUUGGGAAAAAGGUGCCAAGUAUGCUAGUGUUGACCUUGUUGCUGGACCCACAGUGUCGGCUAAUUUGUCAGAUUUUAACAACAAAACCAACACACGAUCAUUAGAGAUGCACCCAUUAAUUUUUUUCUGAUCCAAUCCGAUACUGAUGCCUGGGCUGUGCGUAUCGGCAGAUGUCCGAUACCGAUCCAAUACUACUGUUGAAUGAAUGAACUGUAUACCUUACCCUAUGAGUUUAAGGCAUCAGGCUGGACAUUAGCCUCGUUAAAAAAAGGUAACAAAUCAACACUUAUGUAAAUUUACUUAACAUUAUUUAUUAACAAAUAACAAAUUGCACAGCAAAAAGAAAAGAGACUUUCAAGUAUUAAAAGAAAAAUUAAUUAAAAGAAAAAAAGUCUAGAUUGGAACGCUGGAUCGGUGUUAUUCAUCAGAUAUCAGAUCCAGUGAAUUUGUCAAUAUCGGAGCAUCCCUAACAUUAACACACAUGCGUUACAUGAUUUUGCAUGCUAGCCAGAUAAAUACAGUCAGUGAUGAUAUUAGGUUUUCAAUAUUUUCAUGCAGUCCUAGUUGCACUUGUCUGACAAAAAUGUGAAAUAACAACAAAAACAACAACAAAAGACAGGCAGCUUUGAACAAAGUAAUUAUAAAUGCAUGAACAAACUCAGCUAAUUUUUCAUUGAAGGCAGCUCUUAUUUCAUAAAUGCAUUUUUAGUGAGCUCCCUGCUGCAAGGAAACAAACUUAGAGAAUAAGAAAAACUUGAAUCUGCUCAUUAGUAUUUCAAACAGCGUAGUACUCCUGUCUGUUCAAGAGUCUGUUUCUGUAUAUAAAAACAAACAUACCAAAGAGGUUUGUGCUGGAACGCCACGUAAGCAUCCCAUUACUGCAACUCGGCCUGAUUAACAUAUGAUUGUAAUUCAUCAUACCAUGUGCAGCUGGUGACAUCUUGCAGUAGCAUUUAUUCCAUGUUGCUACAUGCCUUUGGUUCCUUUUUGACAAGUCAAAACAAACAGAUUGCAAGCUGUCGCUACAUUUGCUCAAGAUGAAUGGAGAAAAUGAAUUGGAAAAUCAGGUGUGUCAGGUGAUUAGCACAACCACGCCUGAGAUCCUUGUAGAAUUAGAGGAACUUGGUGUGUUUGGAUAAACACUGACAGUGCAGGCAGGUUGUAACAAAGAUGGGAUCAUGUGAACAGUGCUUCUCUCCAACCUUUCACUAUACAAGUCACUGAGUAUACUUGAACAUUGCCUUGAUGUCAUCAAACAUUAACAGCUCCAAAAGCUUCUGUGUGUAGCUGAGUUAGAUUCAUCAUUGUUUACUACACAUUUCAUUUGUCGACUUUGUGUAAAUGUUGUUUUUACAUGCUUGUCUGCUUGUGGAUUUCUGAUUGUAAUGCAGUUUCAAAAUACCACUCAGUUGAUAUUACUCUUUUUAAUAUUUUAUCAAAUUACUGCUCAGUUCAAGUGUUUAAACAAGGACAAGUGUAUCUGGUGGAUAAACUUCAUUAAAGGUUGGGGACAGAACAUCAGUAUAGCACUAUGUUGUUGUUGUUCUGAUAUGUGCAAACAAUCAUUGAAUAACUGCUGCCAAAUACCAAUAUAUUGAUUGAAAUAAUACAGCUCUCAUCAGUUUACCCCUCCAAUAUGACUCACCGCAUCAGUUAUUGAUUUCCCCUCCUGAUAAAGUUAAUUACAUGAAUCCAGCCCUCUUACGUAUUUUGGGUAACGUUGUAGUCUCACAUUAACCUAAUAUAGUGAUAUACUUUAAUAUAUUUUUAUUUGAAUCUCAUUAUGUUUCAUAUCAUAUUAUACUGAAUUGUAACGUACUAUUCAGUCAUAUCAGGAUCAUCGUAUCAUAUUGUAUUGUAUUGUAUCACAACGUAUUGUAUCGUAUCGAAUUGUAUCAUAUCAAAUCGUAUUGAAUCGUAUUGAAUCAUAUUGUAUCGUAUCGUAUCGAAUCAUAUCGAAUCGUAUUGUAUUUUAUUGUAUCAUGUUGUACUGUAUCGUAAGACAUUUCCUGGCCUGGUUUGUCUUGUCUCCCAUGGUAUUAUGUGAUAUUGUUUCCCAUAUCAUGCAGUAUCACACCAAAAUGUGUUUUAUUGAAGCGUAUUGAACUCAACUGUAUCCUGUCAUACCUUGAGUCAUCCUGUAGUCCUCUCUACUUCUUGAAAUUUCUUACUUCUUUCCUGAAUUCUCAUUUUUACAGAUUUUUUCUGCACAGAUGUAAUAUUUCUAAGUCUUUUGUCCAGUUAAUGCUUGGAACCAGAACCGAAUCUCGUGCCUGAGAUAACUUUUUUAAACGACCUAAAAUAAAGUGCCAAACCUUCCACUUUUGAAAGACAGAAGUGAAGAGGUUGAACUCAAAGUAUUCUGACUUCUGCACCUUGUUUGUCGUGCACACAGCUUGACAUUGGCACUGAGGGACUCUUGAGUGGUAUCACUAUAGACACUGGCGGCUCAGCUCUGUUGUGCAGCAGUCUCAGGAUAGUAAUGGGACGCAGUCACCAGGGAACCCUUUGAGUGUGUGUACUGAGGGAAAACUGACAGGAGCAGAAGAGAGAGCAGAAAGAUUCAAACGAAUGAGCAAUAGUGAGGGAAAUAGAGGAGCAUUUGUAUGGUCUUCACUGCCACUGAAGUUGUAAAAUGGAAACAUAUUUCUCCCCUGACAGCUACAGUAGAUCUUACCCCCUGAGUGGAUCUGCUUAUGAUGUUGUUCGGCGUAGAGGUGGGCCGCAGGGGUGUCCCAAAGGCUUGUUGUUUCUUGUCAGAGAUUAGAUUGAACCAAGCAGCUCUGGUUCAUACUGCUGCUUGAAAGAAGUCGGGACUCCCUGUCACUGACCACAACCUCUGAGCUUUGCUCUGUAAUACUGAAUCCAGAUUUAUUUCCCUUUGUGGAAUAAAAUGUAUACUAUUUUCAAAGAGGCUCGGCCUCCCUCUGGGGUUUCUAUACUUGAAUAUUUGUCUCCCGUCGCGUACAGUCGCUGGUGCAUUUCUGACUGUAGGGAAAAGAGGUUAUUUUAAAUACAUGUCUCCGUUAUAUGUCAGUUAUCUUUGAUUUUUUUUUUUCAUAUUUUUGUUUGACUCAACCUAAAACAACAGAUGUGUUUACAUUAGUUUGUAUUCAGUGUUUUGUCUCUGUUGUUUUAAGCCUUUAUUCCAUCAAUCAAGAUAAAAAUCAGGGGUUUAAAUGGACAUCCUGCAGUAUCUGUUCUAUUAUUAUAUUAGUGUCAGAAUCCAUAUCUGAAUCAGUCCGGGUUUUCCUAGGUAGUUAGUAGGGGUGGGAAUCACUAGUGGCCCCACAAUACAAUAUUAUCACCAUUCUUCGGCCAGGAUACAAUGUUAUUACGUUUUUUUUACAUUUUGCAAUACAUUGAGUAUUGUGAUACAAUAUAUUGUGAUUCAUACAAUUUUUUCAACUGUUCAGCUAAUUUAGCAUUUGUCUUUCCUUUAUGUUUGUCUUAUUUACACUGUAUUUCAUUUUCAUGUAGCACAUCCUACAAACCAUAUGUUUGUUGUACUAACCAGUGAAUCAACCUCACUGGACAAACAGUUGAUAUUUAUUUUUCCAUUAUCAUAGAUUUGACUUCAUAUUAGCAAUUAAUUUGAAAAAAUCAAUACUUGGUGGAUGAGACGAUACGAUAUAUCACCGGACAAAAUAUUGCGAUACUAUGCUGUAUCGAUUUUUUCUCCCACCCUUGGUAGUCAGUGCCUCCUUGUGGCUGGCAAGUUUGGGUUGCAUCAUUUACUCCACAUUGUGCCAAGCAGAGAGUCUGGGUGUUGUGAGGGUGUUAAAACUGCAGUUCUCAGGCCUCAAUGUUAGGUGUUUUUAUGGGAUGUCAUAUUCACACUCUGGAUGAAGGGCGCAGCACUUGUUUGUCAUGUCAUAUCCAUCCACAACAAUGUGACAGGAACACAGGGAUUGGACAAAGCGAUUGAUUUUCCUUCAUCAGUUGGGGGAGGUGUUUUAACAGCUGUUGGAGGGGAGUGAGGGAAGAGCCUUGGACUUGAUAUCUGUAUGAUAAGAACUUCACGAAAAUGAAUUUUUAGCAGUAUAAUGUGCGUCACUUUUCAGCCGUUUUCCUGUUUAAUGAAGUUUUGAGUUUCCCUGACGGGUAUCAGUUUUAAGGGUUUUUGGGAAUUUUGUUUCGUGAUGGCCUUUAGACUGUACUUAAGUAAAUUGCGUUGUAAUUGCCUGGCAAUAGAGAUUUUUUUUUUCCUUUUUUAGAAAUUACCCCCCUUUGCUGUAAUAAUCAAUUUGAUGCAUGCUUGUCUGCUCUGUGAGGGAAGAGGUUAGCUGUCCCCCUUAGUUUGAGACAGAAGGCUUAGGGAGGAAUCCACUGCAGGCAUCUGUCAGUGAGGUAAAGAGCGCUGACAGCCAUACGUCAUCUAUGCCUGGUGCAGGCCCCUGUAUUUAAAAGAGUACGGCAGUCAAAAGCCCAUAAAAGUGAGUGACUCCUCUGGAGCAUCUGCCAUUGCAUGCAGGGAGGAGAUUCAAUGUGAAAAAGGGGAGAUAAUGUGCUCACUCACUAAUGGGCACCCGACUAGACACAGGCUCAUUUUUCACAUCAUGUCAUCUGUAAGGUUUGAAUAAAAGUAAUGGCCAGGAUGAGCCUGGAUCUCUCCCAGCCAUUAUGGCUUCUGCUUCCUCACUUUUAUUUGUGUUGACUUGUACAGUUGGAGGAGAUGACAGUCUCCGGGUCUGCGGAUCAGUCAGAGUGAUGAUCUGCACUGCUCCCCUCUGCUGCUGACAGGUCCCUUGUCUCUGGCAGGCAUGUGAGGCCAGAAUGCCGCACUACGUCAUAUCAAAUGCUGUAAUCUGACAGAAUAAAGGGAUUCGCACACUGGGGACAUCACAAACUCUGUCUUUUGUAAUUUUCUGACAGAGACAGAAAGGGGAAAUGAAGGGGUUCCUACAGUUUCAUGUAGUAAGAAUUAGUGUCAGUCAAAGUUAAGUGGCUAUUUUAAGAUAAAUAGGAGAGGAUUUCCGUGGCAUGUUUUGGGGCAUUGGGCUUUAAAAGACUAUGCUAAUGUGAGCAGAUACUGAUUGGUCGCUGGAUGUUUUCAUUUCCUGAACAUUCAGAGUCGCAGGACACAGCGUGUCUAAAUAUCCAUUCUGAAAAGGUUAGUGCGUAAUUAACGCUUAAAUUCACUGCCACUGUCAGCUGUGUUCAGUUCAGAAUAACAAUAGAUGCUCCAAUGUUCAUCUUUUCAUCUGUGAGAAUACACUGUAAACUAAACCCAAAGAAAGGCAUCUGAAUAUUAAAUAGUCUUUGUGUUUUAUUGUGCUUUUGUUGCUUUUGUGCUUCAGAGCAGUUGCAUAACACAAUUAUUGUAUGUGUGAGAAAGCCUUGAUGUUAUAUAAUAUAUAUUUCAUGCUUCAACAAUUGCUUUUGGAAUAAAGGACUGUUUUGUGUCGGCCCCCAUAAAAUGGGAAGAUGGAUGAGAAAACAAGUGAUUUCCUUAUUAGGUUCAGGAGUCAAAGGCCCUCUUCCCGGGCUUUGGGCUUCAAGAGCCCAGAAGAUUAAGACAUAUAUUGGAUUCAUGAUGGAGGCCACAAAGUUCAUUUUCAAAAUAAAACAGAAUAUUAUUCACAGUCCUUUUAAAAUUCAGAUUGCCAGCUGACCUGUGACUUGGAAGUAGUGUAUUACAUUUUCAAUGAGCUGCUGCUAUGUCACUUGGAGGAAAAAUCCCAUUUCUUGCUCCUCUGCCAGGGGAAUUAUGGGAUUAGACCAACCGUAGUUUAAGGAACUAUGAGAGAAACAAAGAAAUUGUUAUAAAAUUUAAUUCUGAGAUCUUGUGUUUUUCUUUGUUUUCUUCUCCCAUGUCUCUUUUUGACUGCACUUUGUGUUAAUUCUUUAAAGCAAUGGAGCAGAGACAGAUAUCUUAUUGAGUCUCACUGAGACAACACUGUAGUGAGGGGAAACGUAAACAGUCCUGCUUUGUAAGGCAGCGAAAAUCUCCCACCGGUGAUAUUAUAAGAGACACAUGCACACAGCUCGGGCUGAUUUUCAUAUAUAUUAAAAUCACUACCUACUGUGGCAUAUGAAAUUGUGCAAACUGCUAAGGCCUCAGCUUACCAGUGGAACUUCUGCCUCCCUUUGAUUCAGAUUUUCCUCUCUUGUCUCUGACCCUAAAAAAAGGUGGCCAAUAAUCUCAUUCACACACUGUUUCCGUCGCAGACCCUCACAUACCCUACAGAAGACCAUAAAAGUAAUAUUGACAUUGUUCAGCUGCAUAAAAAGUUGCAUGUCAUACACAAAUAUUAUGAAAAGUGAACGCUUCCCUCAUAGCUGCAGGUACAAUAGAAAUCUCCAUUUAAACCCUCCCCAGGGACAUUGGAAAUCUGCGUGUAUACACAGCUCAUUCACAGAAAUCUCAUCAUAAUACUCAGUCCAAAUUCUAAUUUGACCAUUACAGUUGUGAUGGCUUUGAGAUAUUGAGGAUGUAUGUGGAGCAUAAUCAGUCAGUAGACCUGGUGGAGGGCUGCACCACAUAUGGUAAUAAAGCCACAACUUGAGCUCAUUCCCAUACUACCCCCCUCCGUCCAACCCCCCAUCUCCCUGCACCAAUGCCUGCCUCAUCACUCCACACAAAAUAUCCCACCCUUAAUUGGUCUGUGCUCCUCCAACAUGUUUGUAAUGAAAAAGCAGCACAUAAUUCUUAGUUUGUUGGCUGGCAGAGCCCAAUUUACAAAAGUGGAGGUUGGUGAUAAGCAGAGACAGUACGGCUGUGGAGUGCUCAGAACAAUGAAUCACCCCGCUGCCAGGGUUGAGCAGAAUAUAAUUGAGUCCAACAUCUCUGAGCACUUUCACCAUAAUUAAUGAUAAUCUGUAACAGAGGAAUCUGAGAUUCCAGUUCACAGAACUGUUUAAUUAGGCCCAGUAAUGAAAGCACAGGCACUACAAGAAUAUGGCCGGCCUCAUGAUUAAUGAUUUGUGCUACUGAACACAAAAGUGCUGCACCGUUAACUCCAACGGAUGCUGCUGUGUCUCUCUGGCAUUUACACAACACCAACAUACAUAUGGAGCUGUUUGCAUCCCCCAUAUAAAACAGGAUAACUACACUUAUUUUUUUCUUUACGUAUAUAAUCCUUGGUUUUUUUUUACUAUCAAAGCACUGGUCAAAACCAUUUUUCCCUGAAUCAAAAUGAUUUUAUUUUUUUUUAAUUUAAUGGCUGUAUGUGUUUUUAUACACAAAUAAGGUCAGUUAUAUUACCUGCCUGUUCUAAUAUCAGACAGGAUUAGCCAAAAUGUUUCUCUUUCCUUACCUGUGCUGGAAUGACGGCAUAAUUAUGAUAUUUAACUCAAUAAAAGAGAGUUUCAUCUGUCAGUUUGUGUAUAUCAGUCUAUUUUAGUGUGGUUUGAUACAAUGUGAAGGCCCCUUCCUAUCAAAUUAGAAAUAGAGCAAAUCCAUGAUAUCUAUCAGGCUGGUUCUUAAGGUAUGAUUUUUUUAAUAUAUCUAAUCCAUUUGGUUAUGACAGCACUAGGAUAUGAAUGAUGAAAUAUUACAUUAAAAUCAAGUUUAAGCUGGUAUGGUUUUCAAAUUAAACACAGUGACUUAUUAUUUACUUGGCUACACAGCUAGUAAAAGCUCUCUGUGUAUAUGCCGUGAUACAGCUCUGUGCAAAAAGAUUGGCAGGUGACAGAAAAAUAAUGUGUGCUACCGCUCACUCGAGUAAUAAAAAAGGACAUAAGAAUGGAGGUCUUUUACUUAAAAGUAUGGAUUACAUUAUUGAAUGAAAUGCUCCAGCUCCUGUUUGUGCCUUGCAGGCAUCUCUGUGGUUAUUUCCUGGUAGUAUAGCCAGAGUUGUGCGACUUCAUAACACAGCAGCAAGCAGGGCUGUGCAGGGACUGUGUGCUAGAGUGGCUGCACCUCUUAAAUGGAUCUCAUGAAAUGCACAGUAAUACAGUCAUACCAUUACAGAAACAAAAUAAGAUUUUUGUUUGGCAUGAAUUGGAUUUCUACCCAGAAAGAAAAAGCUAUUAGUCACUCCCUGUCAGUUUGUUGGCUGCUCCCAGUUUGAUGUUUUUCUGUGCUCGACCUCUGAAGUUAAAUUUCACACUUAGUUGCAUAUUUCCAACUUAAUGCUUCCUAUGGUGAAAUGGUUUGGCAAAUCAAGAAUCAUGCUAAGAGACACAACAGAAAGAUCAGUCUAUUAUAGAAUAAAAAGACCAGUAUGCUGUGCAGGAACCCACCAUUCAUUUUACUCAUCAUACCGAUCAGUAAAAUGUUGAAGUCUCCAUCAAGCAGACACAAGCCAUAGGAAAAGACACUGUGAAAGGCAAUAAGCGUGGAAAACCAGGCAGAGAAACUCAACCCUCAUAAAUCUAUGACAGAACUUUCUGAAAAUGAGAAAGAAGAGACCAAAAAAAGAGGCUAAUAUAGAUGUAUUCCUAAGGAGGAAAUGACUGUAACCGCCCACCCCCUUGCCCUCCCAUUCCCGUGUCUAAAUCUUGUUUAGUUCUUUAAUUCUACAGUUUCUGACCUGGAUCUGGCCAUCGCUACACAUGAAAGAAAUUACAAAAGCCUCUCAGUCACAGCAGCCCAGCUUCCUCCUGCACCACAGCAUUUGUCAUUGCCAAAACAGCAGAGUUUAAUUAAGUGUUGUGAGCAGCCUAGUGAGAAACACACUUUAAAUUAAACCUCUGAACAUGCUGCUAUUGGUUCUUUACCUUCUCAACAAUCAGCGGGGUAUACGGCAUAAAUUUCUAUCUCUCGAGGGGGAAGGCAGCUGCUGCACCUCUAGCGAUUCAUAAACGGCUCGCCUCCCCAAGAGCAAUCUCUAUUACAGCACAUUUCAUUAUAGCCCAGUUUGGGAACAGCAAGCAGAUGAAUGUGAUAAUUAAUGUUCCUUCCCAACUAAACAUUUUAUUUACUCUUGAUGAAUUAACAGCCGUUAUCAGGGUUGAAAAAAACAAAGCAUGUACUGUAUGGUUGGUGCGUCUGUGUAGGUGAAAAGAAUUACAUGGCAUAUUAUCUUCUGAGGCAUCAAGCAAUUCUUGAUGCAAGAGGCUGAAUUAAUCCCAUCCUCUCCAUGAUAAUGGAUUGUUUCAAGUUGGUAAGCAUUUAAAUUCAGCUAUGCAUUUGUAAGUGUGUCUUUUAUAAUAUCACAAGAUACAUCAGUUUAUGGAGGCGACGUAAGAGGCCCUUUAUAUCUGUGGAAAUGACAGUCCUUUUGGGUUACUUUUGAAUUGGCUCUGGAGAUUUCAAGAUGUUAAUGAUCAAUGAUCAAUGAUAUCAACAAUUGUAUUCACACCUGAUCAAAAAGCAACAUUUAGAUACAUCAAAAUAAAUUGGCAAAUAUGCAAAUGGUACAGACACACUAUUGAUUAUAUGUCAUCAUACUGCAAUUCAGUGUCAUGUGAAGGUGACAGGAACAUGAUAUGUUGCCACAAAAGACAUGCACUAACCAGGAGGACACUCACAGGGUAUACCAGGUUAUAAUUUGGAUGCAUUUUAUUAGAUUUUUGCCAAUAUUCAUUAUGCUAAUGUCAUAUAAGACAAUUGCCAAUGCCGAUACUUACAUUCGACUGUUUCUUUUGUAACCCAAUUAAAGGGACUGUCAAGUCUCUCAUAUUUUUAUGCCUACAGCUAUGAUGAUCCACUGGCAAAUACAAAAAUAAAAUAGUUUUUUUUUUUAUAAUGUGUUUUUGUUUGUAUAAAAUGAAAAAUGGCUUUAACCUAGGUUCUCUGUAAAUAGUGUUUUGUUUGAGACAUGAAAUGUAGCAACAUGACACAACAUGAUUUAAUAUGAUAUCAGAUCAAUAUGAUGUAUAACUACUGUUAGCAGGCUGGGUGAUAUAUACCAUGAUUAAUGGGUCAUAUGCAUAGUGAAAUACACAGCAAUUCUCUACAUAAUUCACUGAAAACUUAAAAGCACAGCUGAGAAUAAAACUUGUAUAAACUGAGUCAAAAAUAUUUAAAGAUGUCCAUGUCAAAUACCAGAUUUUCAACCUUGAAUAUGUCACUUGUAGCAACAAUAUUAAUGCCUGUUUUAAUACCUGGGUAACAUUUAAAUCUUGUGCGACAGCAGGUCUGAUAAAGAAUAGGACGGCUACGUACACUCAAAAUCUAAUCCCUAGUAGCACAUUUGUGCAGAGCAGAGUAUCUAUAGUUAUUUUUAGAGCAUAACUGCAGUUAAAAAAAUCUGAAAACAUCUUCUUUGUGUCACUGCACUGUUUUCUAUAGCAGUGCUCACUCUCUUUACAUGUCACUUAACCCCCGCUGCUCAAUCUCUUUUGCUUGUGGUAGCCUCAGGCUCAAGGAGCCAGCCUACUAGCUGAGCAAUGGCAUCUAUAGGUAUGGAAGUAAAUGUUGUUACAGGAGUUUAAGAGGAAGGAAAUGAUGUUUGUAAUCCAUUUAUGUGUCAGUGUUAGAGGCAGAAAAAUCAAUAAACUGUUGUGAAAUCCCCUUUUCUGUAUCAAUGUAGCCUUAACAAGUAUUAAGCCAUUACUUAUUUUAGCUCAUGCAAACAUCUUGGAUGAAACUCUCUGCCAUCACCUCGUUGGACUUCAAGGCCGUCACCUUCUGUUAACUACUUUAUUAAAUAAGUAUGUCGGGCGUGUGCAGAGAGGACACAGAAACACAGUUAACAUCGGACAACAUUGAAUUGGAUCAGUUUAUACAAAGGGUUAAAAUACGUUUCUGCAACCAUAAUCACAACAUUGUGCUCCGGUUAAAUGCAACAACUGGUGUUUGGAUUGAUGCUAGUUAGGCUACGCAGGGAGAACUUAUUUUAAUGAGGGUUUGUACAUUAUAGUAUUUUUUAAAACUAAAAUAACCCAUUAUAAGCCACUUUUUAAAACUGAGGUUGUUUCUUAUUUUUGAUUUAAUGAUAACUUCAAAUUGAUUCCAGACAUCAACCCGGUGGUCCUCCUUACCUGGAGAAUAGACUCUUGACUGCUUUACUGUUUGAGCUACAUUUGAACAAAAGUAGGGAAUCUGUCAAUUUGUGAAGCAAUGAUGCGGGCUGUAGCAUUUAAAUUUUAAUGAAAAGGUUCGUGAGACUUCUUCUCCACCCAGCUCAGGUGCGGCACUUCUCCUUAAAGUGUGGUUUAGCAGCUUCAUUCAUAAACUCGAUUUUUAUUGGUGGACGUUGGCGCCUAAUCGGGCUGAGUGGUUGAAAUAAUAGUCAAGUCUUGUGCCCAUAUAACAAGCCAAUCCCUGGCACAAACACAGAAACCAAUCAAACUCAGCCCGCAUGAACCUUAAACAAAGGUGGAGGUACAUUUUCUAUCGAUGUUGGAUGACAUUUCCUUGCCCUCCCGUUGCUGCUGCUCCUACGUUUGAGUGAUCAGACAGCUAUUACAAGGUCCAGGUUUAUUAGCGAGACCAUAUAGGCCCAAAGCUCACUGCGGUGGAGGUGUAAUUCUCUACAAAGUGUGUCACGUUAACUCUGUUGACUGAUCCAUACAACAGCUGGUUGAGAGGACCUCUCACACCUGCAGCAGCCCUGUAAGGGGGCAGCAAUGUCUGUAGCUCUGCAGUGAAACCAGAAAAAGCUUUGACACGCUUUUCAUAGCUGGCUGGUAGCAGGCUGUAACUUCUAUACCGUAAUUGUAAAGUGCUCAAGUGGAUGAAGUGUCUCAUUUGAAGUCUCCUGACUUAACUUGCAAGGUACUGGGCUCAGAUUAAAAAUCAAAGUUGACUUGUACUAUGAUGUGGUUCAUAGUGGGAGUGGGUACACUGUAGAAAGUGAGCUUCUUUUUAUGUUUAAAUCUAAAAUCUCCAUUUUUUUUUACUUUUAUAACAAAGAUGCUUUUGUUUUGAAAGAAUGCAAAAUUGCUAAAUAGUAAUAUUUUGGGAGUAAAUGAAAAUUAUUGGGCGGUCAUCAGCCUAAGAAAAACUUAGUCUACUGAAUUUACACCCACUCAUCAUCAGCUAGUUUAAAAAAACAAAGUUGCGGGUUAUCUCUAGAUCAGUCUAACUAGAGACAGUGAAAUCAGUAAACCCUGUCUGAUGGUCAAAUAGAUUAAAAUAAUCAUCUUUUUGCAACUUAAUAUAUUAUUUUUAAUCUCGCAUUUUAUGUUCAUAUUAAAAAAUAUUACUACUGUAUUGACCUGAAUGUAAGUUGAAUCAUUUUAGAUCACAUGUGUAAGCAUCACAGUGGUAUCUUAUUUUUUAAAUAGACUCGUGAGCUUUUUAAUCUUAAAUGAGUCUUAAACUGCUCAUUAUCUUUGGACAUUGCAUUCUGUGGCAUGUUAUUUCUUGGCUGUUUGACAGUUGUUGAUUUGUUGUUCUUACUUUAUUCUAAGCAUUGAGCAAAGUGUCAGUUUAUGGGAGACAGGAGGGUGGCUGACUUGAAUUUCUUCCUGCUUAAUCGUAUAAUAAAUUAAACGGAGAGAAUAAGUAAAAUAUAUUUAAAUGUAUUUUUUUAACAACUGUCUUUAAAGGUAAUAUUACAAGAAGAGCUAAUAGCUUGAGAACUAUGUGCUACAUGUAAGCAAAAAAAAUGACAAAGAGUGCUUGUACUCUACUUUAUGGGUAGGACAUAGCUCAAUUAAAAAGAUAAAAAAAGAAAAAUGUCUAAAGGACCAGGAAAAACUUUGUUGAGCAUCUAAGGUUUUCUAUAUAGCUUUCAGGCCAAUAGUGUCCUUAAAAUGACUCACUCUAGGAAGAACCUCGUCUUAGCCUGACUCACUUAGGCUAAACUGAAAGUUGGAGUCUGGUCUGUGGAGUUUUCCCUUAAUGUCAUACAACCUUUAACCCUUGCCUAACAGCAGAUAGCUAGCUAGCCACCCAGCUAACAUGGCUACCCGUCGGGUUAAAGUGUUUUAAGCGCUCACUGUUCCACUGAGUUGAAAUUAAGUUGAAGUGUGUAUUGCCUGACCACUUAAAAGUUCAUUAAACUGUCAAACAAAGAAUCCUAGAAUAUUUUAUCCCACAAAGGAAGCAUGUGGUGGACUCUUUGCAGCCUGGGAAAAAAAGAAGGGCAUUAGCUGGACACAUUUGAAUGGACCCUCAAAAUGGCCCAGCAUUCAAUGCUCCAUUAUGACACAAUGGGCCCUUUAAAGCAUGAUGGCUCUAAACACAUAGCUGCAUGUUCUCUGCUGUGAAGUCCUCACCUGCUGCCGCCAUGUCUUUAAGCCUGUUUUAGGAACUAAAAGGAUUACUCAUGUCCAACAUCACAAGUCAAGGGCAGAUCCACCUCAGUUGUUAACAAAAGUGCAGAUAGUAAUUUUUAUAUCUCACAGAUUUAAAUUCUUUGUUACAUCCCUGUUACUUUUACAGUCAGUCCUGCAAUAUUUGCAGUUAUUGUGAAGGCUUUGCUGUUAAAGUUAGUGUCACACUAGCUAUAUAAGAUGGGAUACAUGUUACUUGUUUGACAGUAAAUCUCAGAUCAAAGGUAACCGUGGUGACAAUGAACCCUGAUGGUAGAUAACUUACCCUUUGUACAACAUGUAAAGAUGUAUCUGGACCUCCAGCAUUAAGGCCAGAGUUGGAUCUCUUUCAUCGUUGAUCAUUUAAGGAUGCUCCUCUGCUCUUCCUCUUUGAAUUGCCAAAUGAUAUAUGAUCACUUCUUCAGCCCUAGUUAAUGUACACUAUUAGCUCUGUAUUUAAACAUGAUAAUGUAAUUGAUUCACAAAUUGAUUUAUUGUUGUUAAUUCAAGUGUUUCGUGUAUUAAUCACAGCAAAGAAAUUAAUUUAGUAUAUUUUAUGAGCUGUUGUGCGAUCAACUAAUGAUAUAAAUUAAUCAAGUUUAAUAAGAAUUCAAACAAUAUUGUUCACCUAAUUUGUCACUUUGUAAGAAGGAGGAUGAACAAGGGCCUUUUGAUUUACAACAUAUAACUCUACUGGGUUGUUUGAGGUAAUUACACCGCUUAUUUUUGGAUUAUACUCUCAGCUAAUAAUGCAUUAGGUUCACGUUUGUGGUCUUAUCCACUCCAGGUGACAGCCAUGCAUUUAAUCCAACUGUGUUUAGGGUUUGAGGGGCCCAAUCACUUCCAGGUCAUAUGUCCAAAUGCAGAUCUCUCUGUUGUGUUUUUGUAGUCUAACAAACAACAAGCUGCUGAAUUUAUUUGGUUUGCAGUCCUGCCAAUCUAAAGAGACCCUAACUUUUGCCUCAUUCAUGUCUCUCUUUUCAUGUGAAUCCAUGAAAGUGGAGCUUUACUGUGAUAAAAGUGUUUUUAUUCUUUGCUUUGAGUAAACACUGCACUUGUUUCCCACUCCAGAGAGACAUUUAAGUAGUUCAUUAGUGGCUAUGUCAUGUCUUUAAAGUAUUGAUCCCUCCAGUCAAUGAAAAAAUAACAACUCCGGUUAUAAGCUACUUGUCCAUAGCGAUGGGCAACAUAAAUUAUUUAAAAAGGGCACAUUCACUGCGGCCAUGGAGCCAUCAAUCAUAAGAUAUGGCGAUGACAAAAAAGCUGUGCUUCACAGGUUCCUCCUAUCUCCCCCCAGAACAAUUCUAUCAGCCAGGUGAGUGUGAAGAGGCAGGAUGACCUGAUGUCACUCACAUUGUUGCCUCUGCCUUUGAAGGGCCCAGCUCUCCUCUCAGUCUGGGAAUGGGAUAGCUAAAUGGAUUCUCUGUGUUUACCGCUGGCCACCCUCCCAGAGCACACUUCAAUUUGUCUAACAAUAAAAGAUGGACAGAAGAGCUGGAGUUUUCCAAACAAUGGAUGAAUUUUUUAUCAAAUGCUUGAAUUGAGUUGCAAGUGGCGAAAUAUUUAUUCAUAGAUCUUUAGUCAGAGGUAUUGUGUUGAAAGUAAAAGACAACAAGUGUAAAGGUUUACUUGAGACGGAUUAUCUCUAUCUCUACUGUUCUGUCUCAGAGUAAACAGGAUUCUUCAAAUCUGAUUGUCAUCAUUUUUACCUGAUUUUUUUAAAUGUCUGACAAGAUAUGCUAAUUGUGGGCCUUUACAAUCUGGGGCAACACAAAUUCUCCACUGCCAGUUAGAUGGUACUUUAACAUCAAUACAAUGAGACUGAUGUAGGAAUCUUGCAAACUUUCAACUUCCAUUUGCUUCUGGAGUCAUUUGGAUACGCAGUAAAUAGGACAUGCAAACCAGCACUUCCUUUUCAUUUGCUAAUGUUCAUUAUACUGUCACUAGUAACAUGAGACCACAGAGGGAGCUGGAGUGUCGAGCAGCAGGUUGGAAUAAUGGAAAAUAUAAAGGGACCAGGUGACAAGACUUUGCAGGUGCAGAUUUAGACCAUAGUCAUUGUAUUAUUAUUUAGACCUAACAUCAAAACAGGACAAGAUUCAGUCCCCUAUUACAGGUGAGACCCAGCCUUACCUCAUCUUAAUCCAUCAUAAGCAGAAAACUCACCAGGUUACAUCAAGUUACAGUGGAGAGGAAAAACUUCCUGUGAACAGACAGAAACCGCAAGCAGAACCAGAUUCAUGUCAGACAGACAUCUGCCAUGACCAUGUCUGGAUUGGAGAGAGAGAGAGGGAGAGGAAGAGAGAGUGAGAGGGAGAGAGAGAGAGAGAGGUGGACCCCAAACAACAUCAACAACAGGUCACACAGUAUUAUGGUUACAGUUACAGAUUUAAUGGAAAAAAAUGUUUGUGAUAUUUGCAGAGGAUGCAUAUGGACAGUAUUAGACUGAUUUUAAUGUCUAACGCAGUCAGAGUCAACGAGUCUGAUUUAAGCAUUUAUACUAAUGAUACAAACAAUAAGGGUAGGAAUGAAAGUCACAGAUCACACGGUAUCAUGGGCAUUGUAAUAGUGAUAAUAAUGGUGAGAAUGAAACUCAUAGCUGUGGCUGUUAGUCUGGCAGGCCCACAGCAGCAAGCCAUCUGCAGCAACAAAAAAGAGGAAUCUUUAGUUGGAUAUGAGAAAUUAAAGUUAAAGUUAGUGACAUGAAAACAUUGUUUGGAAAACUCCAGCCCUAACAAUAAACUUUAUGAAAGAGGAAAAUAAGUGUACUCUGAGAAGUACAGAGGGUGUCUGCUUCUUACACCCUGACCAGGAAUUUUGAAGGAGAGGGUCCUGAGGGCUCCUCCUCCAGCAUGACUUUUAGGAAGAGCAGGGCUGCAUGCUUUUUAACAUUAGUAAUGUACUGAUCUCUUUGGUAAUGGACUGUUGUACCUUGCAUUGCUCAAGGCAGCAUCAGGUGAAAAAAAUUACUGUAGAUCUGUUUUUUACAAUUUUUAGUGCCGUCUGAUUCUUAAUUACAUUAAAAUUGUAUUCAAAACAGUAUUGUUUUAAACAGGGACACCAUUGAUCAAUAAUUUAGCUGUUAUUUUUAUGGGCUUAAAAUAUCAUUACAAUAUUGGUUUAUAAAAAAUGAAUUCAAAAUAGACAGAUCAAAAAUCAGUAUUUCUUCUGUCUUUGCCAAAUAACUAAGUGUGACUGGCUCACUACUGGUCUGAUUUUAUCAACAAUAACAUGGAGGAAGUCCUGCACUGUUUUGAAAUAGAGCAAAUAGCGGCCAUGAAAUGUGUCCAUAGUCUAAUACACAUCAUGCCAACCAGAAGUGGUGCAUCCCACUCAUGAACAUUGACUUUUGAAGCAGGUCUUCAUAAACACACACCAUUAAAGCCUGAUAAAUACAGCCAUAAAAAGGCAGCCAGGCAAAUACAAAACACCGGGAGACACUUAAGUGUAGUGGACGAGUCUUUGAGUUUGAGUUUCAAAAACCCCACUUUGAUUAAUAAUUGAUUAUAUAAACCCACACUACAUGAAAGGCAGGAAGAGGUGCCAUUCUUGUGAACGGCCAGCCAGUCAAACAGCACUUUGUUGUUUCAAAUGCUCCCCUGCAUAUCCGUACCGUGGUCAGUCCUCUAACCAGCCCAGCGCUGUGCAACAAAGACAGGCUGACAAAGAGCCCGCGCUCCCCUGAUGAAACGAGACAUGCAGAGAUAUGAAUGACUACAUCUGAGGGGUAAUUGCUGCAGAGCAGGAGCCUCCUACCUCGUUUCAUUUAGUCUAUUAGCAAUUUAUGGCCGGUCUCACUCAGCUCCACACAGGAGGGGUUUGAUCUAAAUUCUCAUGAGCUUUUAGGUGAGGCUGGGACCCAGUAGAGAGCCUUGAGGGGAAGAAAAGGGUUUCACUUACCACUGUUCUAAUUCUCUUUGGCUUAUCAUUAAUUUGUUGUCACAGAAGAAAGGUGAGCAUCACACAGAUCUAAUUAAAGUUAAUGGGAUUAUGAUCCCAUUCUCUGAGUCUCUGAAGUCCUGUUUUACAGUUGUUAAGACAUAUGAGUGAUUGUCUCUUAGUGUCUCAUCAUCACCGUGCUGUCCCUCUGUGUUGACUUAAUGACUGCAUGUGUGCAUAUAAUAGGCUGAGGUAAUCCAAUUGAGUCAAACUGAUUGUUGAAAUUAUAGACUUUAAAGAUAAGGGAGUUGGACGAAGAGUAUAAAUGACUUCUGAGCAAUAGCAAAAUGAAGGACUGAAACUUUGAUUUCUGGAGGGAAAUCUGUCUGAUAGUGGGAAGCAUCUUUCCUCACAGAGCAGCUGAAAUAAUGUCGAUAUUAAGACACAGUCUGCAAAUAUUUUAGCAGUCUCAGUCCUUGUGCCUCUGUGCAGGGUGCAGUUUCAUUGCAGGGGUUCAGGCCGAAGGUGAAGGUGUUGGUGAUAUCAGAGGCCCUGCAGGCUAAUGCCUGGUGUCAGCCCCCUACUGAGAAGGAUGCAGACCUGGGUGUAUUAGGGUGGGGGUUCUGACUGGUCCAACAACAAGAAGCAGGCAGAGCGGGCAGGCUGACUCUGUUUGAUGGCUUCAUGCCGCUCGGGCCUGGUGGCCAGCACGCCAAGACAUCGUGUUAGCUGAGACUUGAUAUAUUUUGAUAUUAGCAGUGUUUGGAAGCAGAGGUUGUUUGAGUAUAACUGCAGUGUAGAUUGAACUUAUUACUGUGAUUGUGAGACAUGCAGAAAGAAUGUGUUUUUUUUUAAAGGUUUUAAAGGUUUGUGUUGUAGAAACUUGUGAAACCUCGACUCUCUUUCCUGUAUGCAUUUAUAGUAAAAGAGGUUUGUUUACAGAGGGAGAGUGAGAAAAAGAAAAUACAAUACAAUUUUAUUUGUAGAGCACAUUAAAACAACCAAGUUGACCAAAGUGCUUUACAUAGACAUUAAAAAACAAACAAAAUCAACACUCGGCAAAAUACACGAACAGACCAGAUAAAAGCAAUUAAACUGUAAUCAAUAAACAGACAACAUGAGAAUGGUUUGUGUUAAAAGCCAAAGAAAGGACUGAAGGCCUUGAGUUGAAUACUAAAAUAAUAAUUAAAAAAAAACAUAGUAUUAUCAUUUUUCCCCACUUCAAAGCCACAUAACAAAGAUUGACAAAAAGCUGAAUCUGAACUGUGCUCGCCUUCCCUUCCCCUCCCCUCACCCACACUGUGCUGGACCAUGUGCCCCAGCUGAAUGACAGGUACGGUGUUGGCUGCGAAACUCUCUGUGGCACCUCCCUCCACAGGGGACUCUGAACCACCAGCCCACAGGAGCGACUCCCACUGGGAGGUUCGAGGCCUUGCUCUUCCUCCUUUGGCUGAUCUCUGACACACCCAGUUUGUGCUCGCUGGCCUUGAAGAGACAAUGGUGGGGAUUUCUCUCUGGCCAAGCAGCGGGUUGUAAUUGAUGUGGCAGAGACGUCAGCACUAAUCUUUUGCUCUCUGACGGCCUCUCUGUAAGCCCCUCAUCCACUCCACUCAGAGACCUGCUGCACCAACCUCGGCAAACUGCUACCUAGUCAAUUAGAUCUACCCUGUCUGCUCCCUGUUUUGUGUAAAUAUAUCUCCUGUAGACACCCAACAUGUUCAGUUAUCUAUCCCGGCACAUUCAGGGUGAUUUCUUAAUACCACCGCAUGCCACUAUCAGCAAAUGGAAAGCUCGGCUGAUAUCUCCCACUGCAGUGGGCCGACUGAUUAUAUAUGGAAUAGAAAGUUGAUUUUCAUAUUUGUAUGGAGGAUUCCUAUCUAUUCUUACAUACCUUGGUACCCACAGUGCAUAUGGAUAUUGUAAUCACACACUUGUAUAUUGUGUGCUACACCUGGGGAUACCAUUACUAAUUCUUUUUUAAAGUGGUGUGAAUCAAGUCCAAUGAGAAGCAUAUCACAAACACAGCUGUGUUACGUGUUCACUCAUCUCUCAACAAUGUCAGCAAGUCUGCAUUAGAGGACAAACCAUGUGAUGGAAAGAGGUACUACUGCUCAUGACAGUCAGAAAUACAAGAAGGACAUCAGAGCUCUAUGUAAGACAUGACAAACUGUGUAUUGGACAAAAAUAUUCAAAACUCAUUGAGCAGAGCAGUCAUAUUUCAGGAUUUUAAGACAAAUAUUGCUCUUUUUCUUUUCCAGAAGAACAAUUGUCUGUUUGCCUUCACUGGUUGUGAUUACGUGAUGGAGAAAAUAGAAGUUAAUAACAAGAGAGAAUGGGAGGGUUGGGAUCUGAACUGAAAAAAUGGAUUUUGAUUGAAGUUUUGCACUCUGAGAGUUUUAAUUUGUCUGCCUUAGAAGGUGGCAAUUGCAUUUUGCAUGCACAUUUACUCGGAGGAGCAGUUCAAUAUAAAGGAAACACUGAGAUUUGCUUUCUUGCUGAGAAUAAGAUGAAGUGAGAAACCACAGUCAUGUAUGUAGAAAGACACCAAUGUAAAAUUCAGUCUGUUUCACUCCCAGUCAAAAACUUCUCACCGUAGAUUUUAAAUAAUUUCUAAAAUUAGGUACAAAUGAUAGGAGAAAUUUCCUGAAUGGAUGCAAUCAAUAUACAAACUUAACCUGACAAAACGAAAACGCGAAUGAGUCAAUUUACCACAAUGAUUUUUAUAGAAUUCACAGUUAAGUCAAAAUCUGCUUCUGAUUUGAGCCACCAUCACCAUGUCAUCUCUGACAUCGUCAAUGACUCUUAAAGGACCAGAACCCUUUUGCCCUUCUUUAGUGGAAAACAUUGAAGUGUGAAAGAAAUGCAGUGAAAUGUUUUUUAAAUGAUAACAACUUGGGCUGGGCGAUACGGGAAAAAGUUUAUCACAAUAUAUUUUUUCAUAUCAGCCGAUAUCGAUAUAUAUCAGGAUAUAAAAAAUGAAGUUUAACAGUACUUAUUGGUAGCAUGUCUUUAACAAUACAAUAAGCUACUGCAUCUGUGAGGUCUUUGUGUCUCUUUGACGUUUUGUUGUGAGGUGUUACGCUAGGGAAAGCGGACUGAAUGGUCGACUGUUUUCGACUGCAUAGGUGCCAUGUAGGGAUGCAGCGAUUAACCCAUAGUACUAUUAACCGCGAUUUAAAACGUCACGGUUAAUUAAUCCCACAGGCUCCGCAACACCGAGUGUUUGUUAUCACUCGCAAAAAACGGAUGACAUGCUAUUUUGGCGCAACCUGCUCGAAAGGAAAACAAAGUUACACCAGCGAUGCACCUGCUUUUAGUGCCGUGCUGUCAUAUGAUCAGGAGACACGUGACUACUCUGCUGGAAACAACGCAAGAAGAAGAAGAAGAAGAACGCGGCUACGCUUAAUGAGCUAAUGAUGGCAGAAGCACCUGGGAGCGACGCUCUCUUUCCGCCGAAAAAAAAAAUAAAGUCGGGAGUUUGGGAGCAUUUUGGUUAUCUUAAAAAUGACCAGGGGGUCCUUCAGGACGACGGAGCACCAAUUUGUAAAGCCUGCCGCAAAAAAGUUGCGGCUAAGGGAUCGAACACAUCAAAUUUAAUGCAGCAUUUGCGGGAUCAUCACCCGACUUCACACGCUGAAGUAAAGGUAACACACAAUGACCGAGUAAAAUUCCGUUUAGAACAAGUUACCAAAGGAAACAUUGAGUUGGUAGGGAGUCAAGUGUAAACGUGUCACAUACAAUCAGUGGCGUAGCAGUGAGAGUUGAGCUCUAAAUUCAAUGUAAACAAACAGCCGCAAAGCGGCAUGUUUUACCUGACUCCGGCACCAUCUGGCGGAGUCAAUGAAGUUUUCUUCUUCCCGUCUUGGGAUCUAAUUAAUUGCAUUUCAGUUAUUAUUAACACGGCAUAAGAGAUGUUUUACUUCAUUUAAUACUUUAUUUAUAAAUACUUUAUUUCAAACAUUUAAAAAUAACUUAAAUCAUUACUGCAAAUCCAAAGUUCAUGGCAUGUUUAUUUAUUUUAAUUUUUCUUAUUCACUUUUAGCUUAAGACUACCUCUAGUUCUGCACUUCAACAACCUACUGUGGCGGCAUCCUUUUCAAAGUCUGUGACCUAUGCUCCCUCUUCAAAACAAGCCCAGGAUUUGACUGAAGCUGUGGCCUAUUUCAUCUCCAAAGACAUGCCAUUUCAGAUUGUGGAAAAACCUGGAUUUCUCCAUCUAAUGAAAAAGACAGUGCCACAAUUUCGAAAGUAGCCAAAAAGUAUCUGUGUAUUCCUGCAACAAGUGUGCCUUCAGAAAGGGUGUUCAGUGCAAGUGGCCAUAUCCUGUCUCCUCAGCGGUCAAGACUGAGCGCCGACAAUGUGAACAUGCUCACAUUUUUGCACUAUAAUUUGAACUAAAAGGACUUGAACUAAAUGUGCUGUUUGUGAAAAGGGCCCUGAUGUAGAUGGGUUCUGUAGCCUUUGAGUACUUGUUCUGUUAAAAAGGCAAAAAGGUUUGCAUUUAAUUCCAAAGAUAUGGACCUUGUUUCUUUUUAUUUUCACUAUUAGAGUAUUAUUGUUUCAAAAGGCAGCUGUACAGCUUUCACCAUGUUUGCAAGUUCUCUACUCAGGUCAAUAAAUGCAGAAAAAAUAACAAACUGAAAAUACGAAAUAAUUUUGUAAUAUAGUUGAUCAAUCACUCCAUAUGUAUUAUUCUAAAGGGAAAACAGAUGUUUACGGAGCAGUUUUGUUUUAAAGGGAAACACAUAGCUAAUAUGUAGCUUCUAUUUGAUUCCAAAAAGACAAAGACACUGUUUAUUUGCUACUCUCCCUUUCAAAGGAGAGUUAGAUUUUUUUGUUUAUCUUUAUUUAUUAUUUUGUACUGUGGUGUUUGAUUACUGUUUUCUGCCAAUAAAUAGCACAUUAAGAACACUCAAGAAUGUUCAUGUAAUUUUAUAAAGUAGUAUUAGAAGUGUUGUGAAAUUUAUGUAUAAUAAUCGUGAUAAUCGUGAAACCGGGAUUAUUUCUCAUACUAUAAUCCUACAGUGAAAAUCUAUAAUCGUUGCAUCCCUAGUGCCAUGGGCUCCUUGCUCCGUUUGUAACCUUUGGCAUUGUGCGUGCUCUGCUGCGUGGCACUGCUUCAGGUGGUGAAAAAGAUUUGAGGUAUUCCCCGACUUCGCGAGAACAUGUACUCGAUAUAAUUUGCAGUGCAAAUUACUCUGCUUCAUGUCUAAUCUCAAAAAACCCAAUACCUCCACACCAGUGAUGUUUUAGUGCCAGAGUUGUUGACAGUGUCUUCAUCUGUUAAGCCUUCAUCUGCAUUUCUGCUGUCGGUUCCAUGUGUUAAAAUGCCAUAGUUGCCUGUAAUUCAGCACACGAUUGGUUCAGUGCGAAGCAGACCCGGAACAACUCCCAUUUUCAGUGGCUAUGCUUAUAGUCUACUAAAACAUGGCAGAAUGCCGACUAUUGAAAAGAUUAUUGACCAUGUUUUUGAUAUUGAGGGAAAUUAAUUUACCAUAUAUAUCAUUAUCAUUUUAUCACCCAGUUCUAACAACAUGAGUGAAAGUUUCCCCUAUUUUGUGUUACCUUAUAUGACCUUCCAGAGGUGAUUCAGGAUGGAUAUGGUUCUGGAAAGGUCUGGUACAAUACAGGAGGCUGACAUGAUUUGUAAGCAUGGUUCACUGAGAAAUUCCAGCAGUGAGGGAUUCAGUAUUUUUAUGAUUACUAUGACCAACUUUCUAACAUAAUGGCAGUGGCUGUUUUGCAAGAAGAAGGUCAAGUGAAGAAGAAAGGAGGGAGUGAAACGAUAUUAACCAGGAUGCAUGCAGACAUAUCAAAGAGGAGCCUGUAGAAAGCCCUCACAUGGUUAAUCUGCUAUGACUGUUGAAAUACCCAUGAUAAUGCUAGUAGAAUAAAGAAUUAUCGUUCUAAUAAACCAUGCUGUUUAUCUAAACUAUGGACAUUUGGAUAUAAAACAAGGCAGUAGGGGGGUCAAGAUCCCAUGAUCUGAAUCAGUUCGCAGUUGUCAGAUUUAAGAUCUCUGUGUAUUGUUUUGGAAAAUUACACUGCUGCGUAUUUUUUCUGUCAUUGAUCAUUUAUUAGUAUAGAAUUUAAAUCAUGUUGUAAAUAUUUCAGAAAAAAAAUUAUUUAGAAUCACACCUUUAACACACUUUCAUAAAGUAAGCUAGGCCUGGACGAUAUAGAAAAAAAGCAUAUCGAUAAAAAAUAAAUCAUAUUGAUCGAUAUCGAUAAUUAUCGAUAUAAUUAUUAUAAUUAUUUAACAUAUAUUUUAAUUGCAGCCCUGGAUGUUUUAUGCUAUUGCUUAAUGACCUACUUUUAAUAAAGAACACAUAAGCACUGAAAUCAAAUUCAAACCUUUAUUCAACCACCUUUUUAUUUAUUUUUUUACCACAACUGAAAGUUUUUUAAAAAAGAACUUAAAAAAAAAAAAAAAAAGAAAUCAACUUAAGUGGCCUGAGUGACGUCAGUAAAUACUGACAAACAUAAAGACUAAAGUGACCAGAAAAUCUGAUAAAUAAAUAUUUAAAUAGACUUUUGAUGAAAAUAAACAAAACAAACAAAUAUAUAAAUAAACAGAAUAGCUUUAGGUGGGAAUAGCAUACUACCAGUUUUAACUGUGUGAGAAACUGCCCACAGCCUGGUGUCUGAACACUGAAAUAUUUCUCCCGGGGUCGGGAGAUUUGUUUUUUUUAAUUAUCAUGUGAUUGACUUAAUACGCAAACUGAGCACGAGAAGCAGGACUUAUCCACGCCGGUGUUGUGUCGUAGAAUGCACCCCUGCCGAACGCACCCCCUGCUAGUAGCCAUGAUCCAAAUACUCGCGUCUUUGUAAAAUAUGAGCUCAUUUUCUUCCACUUUAAGAAGCUAAUGAGUGGACAGGAUGCAGGGGUGCAUUCUACAGCACAACACCGGAACAUAUUUCCUCCGCACCCUUCUCAGCUUUUCAACCCCUGACCCGUUUUCAUGCCUGAAGCGCUGUGUUUGAGAAAUACUUGCGGCCGGGCACUUCAUAUCGCGGGUCAAGAGUGGCUAGAAGCUGGUCGAAGCCAGGCUUUUCAACGGUAGUUAUUGGCAGUAUGUCCCUCGCUAUGGAGCAUGUCACUGCAUGGGUGAUGUCCUUAUGCCGCUUGGACGCUUUGUCGUAUUUUGGCAAGAAACGAAGUCCAGUUUGGUCUGCUUCACUUGCUUUGUGCUGGCAGCGGUUCCAGAGGAUUCCUCCGACGACGACGUGGAGUUGCGGCGCGGCCGACACAGCUCGUACUCCUGCGGGUGCGAUCGGUUUAGAUGGUAGAGCAAGUUGGUUGUGUUACCAGACUUGGUUUUUACUAAUUCUCUGCAAAUUUUGCAAACGACCGCUGUUCGCUUUUUGUCAGACUUGUAAAAACCAAAACAUUGCCAUGCUGGUGAACUACUGAAACCUUUUUUCGGGACAAUUUCCUCCGCUUCUCCUUGCUGUAACAUUAUUUCUAAUACACGUGCUGUCUGUUGUGGUUUGAGAGGGGCUGGGCUUGGUGCCGUAGCGUACCUGGGUCUGCGUUUGUGAUUGGUUGGGAGGAAGUAAUGACUGUAGUAAAAGCUACAUGAUAGGCUAUGAUGAAAAAGAAAGGGAAACUGUGUUUUUCUAUCGAACUUUUUAUCGACCCGUUUUUUUUCUAUCGCACCACACGUCUAUCGAUCGAUAUAUAUUGUUAUCGAAUUAUCGUCCAGCACUAAAGUAAGCACAGAAAUACAAACAAAGUACAAAGUACAAAGAAUCAAAAAUAGCGUAUUAAAAUACUAGACAGUCAAACAAGCAAAGACGCAAAGAAACAGCAAAGAGACACUUUUUGUUUGAGCUGGGGAUGGAAAGAAGGUUAGGUUAGUUGAUCUGAAUGGCAUGGAGAGCCAGGUGUCAUUGCAUCCCUAUAAUACUAGAUGAGAAAAGUUCUCUACUAAAAAUUAAAAAGUGAUUCAGCAUCAAGAGGAGGUGUAGAGUAGAUAAAUCUCUUCUCAGUGGUAGAGUCAGCUGUCUCUCAAGUAGAGGGUUGUCAGUCUGAUCCCAGCUCCUGCAGUCUCAUGCCUAAGUGUCUGUGGGCAAGAUACUGAACCCAUGCACAUUUAGGGUAGUAGUACAUGCUGACGAUCCCUAUAGCACUAUAGUAUUCCCCAGUGUCUGCAUGUGUACAAAUGGGUGAAUGUAAACUACAAUUAACUAAAACAAGCAGUAUUUAAGUACAAGUCCAUUUACCAAAUUUCUGUGGAUUAUGACAAAACUAUGAGAGUAAUUCAAGUUUGUUUAAACAUUUAAACAAAAUCAGCUUUUAAUGAGUCAUGAAGAAACUCAAAGCUCUGACUGGAAUUAAAGCUCUUUCUGUGAAUUAAAAACAGCUGGAUGCAGAGUGUCGAGAUGCUCAUCACAAUCUCAUCUAUGAAACAACACACCAGCAAACCGUGCUGACCUCUCCCCAUGGCCUCACUCAUAAUAGAAACACACUGUCAGAACUAAAGGAGUCUGCGUCACAGAAGUCUUCUUGAUUAAACUGAGUCAUAUAAAUGAAUAGAUGCUGGUUAAGUUUUUUUAUUUAUAAACUUAGAUUUGAAUAAUACACACACACAAAAAAAAACUUUGGCACAAAGAAAUAUUCAUGUUUACUCUGUUAGCAAAUAUAAGGCUUAGGUUUACGCGCACAAAAAUUGACUCUAAAACAUAAAGUCUAAUUUUCUUGCUUGAGCAUUUCACUGCCAAAGAAAACCUGAUGAGUAGUGUACAUUUUUAAAAUAUAUAUAUAUUCUAAUUGAGUUGUUUAUCUAAAGAAAUAUGCCUCACAUACAUGAUAGACUUACUGUUUCUAUCCCAGAACAAUGCUGUCCCUUAUGAUAAAAAUCUUGAAUAGAUGAUGAGUAAUUAUUUUGUGCUCAACCUCCGAUUUCUUUCUUAGUUAAAGUCAUGUCUCAGGAUUAUGAGAAAUAUCUCCAUCUUACUGUUGAAACAGAAGACAUACUGGAGAUCUGUAUUAAGAUACCUUGUAUCAGUCUUUUCCAUGUCAGUGUUUAUCAAAAUGUCCAAGCAUGAGUCAGAAACAUCAUCAAAUGUCUGAAAAUAUAAUAGGUGCAAAAUGUCAGGGGAAAUAGCCCGGUGUUACAGGAAGCGAUGCCAUUUCCAUAAAUGUUUAAUUGAUUGUAAUCCUUUGUUGAGGAGACAUUUGCACAAUGCAUGGGGUUCACACCGAGCAGGAUAUUGAAAUAUUGAAGUAAAAUAAUAAUUCUGAUCCAUUUGUAGCUUAAUUGUCAGAAAACGCCUGAUAAUGGCCUUUUAUUUAGCGUGAUUAUCUAUCAUACAUUUAAAGUGGCAGGGGAAAAAAUGAAAGUAGUAAUUGGAGGCUGUCACCGAAUAUAUAUGUAGUCAUAGUCCCUCAGAUAUGAUUAAGCAGCUGAUAAAAAAGUUGAAUUGUUAACAGCAGAAUACCUGCCACGGCCGCUCUGAAAGCUUUAAUUGUUUUCAUAUGGCCAUUCAUUAGUGCUGUUGAUUAAGUCAUAUGUCAGCAGUGAAUUUGCUCCUGAGCUGUCAGGCCAGAGGGAGGCUGUGAAAGGGACGCAGCGAUGGUAGUCAUCCUCCUCCCCACGCCAGACAACCAGCCACCCUGCCACCUCCGUACGGAGCGGCAAACCCCCUCCCAGUCAGGUUUGAGGGCAACCAUCUUUGCUUGAGCUGCUCUGCUCGCUGCAGCCAUGACAAGAUUCGCAAUUCUCUCCCUUUAUUUACACACCAUCGCCCUGGCUCCACGUCACCUCAGAGUGGUGUGGUCGCGCGGUCGCGGCUGACCCCAGGGUAAGGGCUGUCUCAACUGAUCCAAGCGGAGCCUGCUGGGGGGACAAGGCCCCGGUCAUAUCAUACAAAUGUAACAACAGCAGCAUGCCACCAUGCAAAAUUACCCAGAGAAAUUAAGACAUGUGUACAGUUUGUGGUUAUAAAAGGAAGUUUGCUGUAAUACAUGAUGUUCAAAAUAUAUGAUGCUUCUUCUUAUUCUCCUGUCUUUUUAUACAACAUGUGGGUCUGAGGCACAGAAAGAGAAAUACAUGACACCUUUAGCAAUUGCCUGGAUGUUGACUACUUUUGUCACAGCAGACAGUCACAUAAGAUGCUCCACUCACAAGCAAUGUAUUACUAAACCAAAAAGCUGCUGGAGGUGUCAUGUAAAUACGUAACCACAGUUAAAGUAAUAGGCUAUAAAGUGAUCUUUAAGUGGAGUUUUAAGCACCCCCAUAAUGGCUUUGGCUGCCUUUUAGCAGACCAUGUGACUCCCCCAGAGUAGUGAUUAUGAGUCACGGAUGAAGAGGUCUUGUGUGUAGGUCAGCCUGUAAGCCUCACUUUCACCUGCCAAUCUUUACUUUCCUCGAUACUCAGAGAGCCUUGUUCUUUUUACUGUUAACUGUCUUACAGCAGGUGGUAUCUGGUAAAUUAUGUCUACAAAACACUUUGACAAAACUUGGGGAUAGCCUUGUGGAAUUCCUACUGUGGUGAAAAGCCUCUAAAAUCGAGAGCGAAUUAGAAAAGAAAAUACAUGAAUUAAACAGCCGUGUUAUUUGGCAAAUUGUUGCACAGUAAUAGGGAGGGACUAUAUGUGUAUAAUAUAGAUACAGAUAAGCUCUUUCCAACAGGGUUUCUAGAGCAGCAUUCCUGGCUCUGCUGUGGCUGUUUUUUUUUUUGCCAUAAAACACCAUCACAAGGACACUGAUGCAUGGUGCUUUCUGAAUUUUGUAUUAUGUGAGAGGUCUUAGGGGCUAGUUUCAGGAAGUGUUCUUAAUUUCACAGGGUUAAGGAACAGCAGAUUCUCAAGGAAUACAGAUCACUUAGCACAAGCCGUCGUGCACCCCGGAGCCGGCGAGCUCUCUCCCGAUUUGUUAACCACAUCCUCGGGGCCACUGAACCGUUGAGACUGCCAAGGUGAACGUGCAGUCCCAGAAGGAGGCUUUGCUGUCAUAGAUCAGUGAAACAGUGAUUCAGCUUCACCCGUGUGUUUAUGUGGGUUCACUUGUGCAUGUUCUUUUAAGUGUAUUAACCCUGGCGGUGUUUGCGUGUGCGUGUACAUGUAUGAAGCGUGCUCCGCCUGUGUGAAAAGCCCCUCCAGCCCUGAGGUCCGUGAGUCUUCAGGCCUUAUGAUCAAAGUGGUGCCAUCUGAACUGUGCCACAACUGAUGUCUAUAUCAAAUCUCGCAUGAAGACGGACAGGCGUUGAAAUAGAGGGCUCUUUCCUAAACAUCUGGGCCUCUAUUUUAAAAAUCAAGAGAAUUAGCUAGAUUUAUUUCCAGAGACUCUAAUGAAAAAGGGAUGAAUGUAGCAUGACCAGAGGAAAGUGAUUGCCUUUUCCCCCUUAGACCAGACAUCUAAAACAAACAAGAGUGUGUUAAACCAUCGGAUGGUUUGUACAAGAAUCUGCCCAUUAUUUGCCCAAACUAAAAGGAAUUGUACAUGUAUCAGCGAUAAUCCGAUCAUCAUGCUGCUCCUAAGCUUUUAAUUUGAUUAAGUGUGUGAAAAUUGAGGGCAGAGAGUCUCUUGGAGGAUAACAUCUCAGACAGCAUCUCCUAAUUAGUGCUGUAAAUUUACAUAUGGAUUCCUGUUUAAUGUUUAACCAGUCCUUAAUCCAGCCCGCUCUGUGAUGUCUGCGGUCAGAAACAUCCUCCUCUGUCACAUGAUGUGAUUAUUCCCAGUACUCUCUGGCUUCUUCCUUUUUCUUUUGGGGAAAAAAACGGUUACAAUUACUGAAGCUUUCAAAUUGUUCGACUCAGGAAGCUUUUUAGUAACGGUGGACAAAACAUGCUCAGUUUCCCUCAGGAGCUGAAUAGAGCUUUUAAGGGGCUUUUGGCCUGAAUCCUCAAUAACCAGAUUAACACUAGACAACCAUUAUCUCCAUUAUUGUCUCUUUACAGCACACGGUCCCUGCUAUUGAAAUCGAUCAUCACGUCCCUUGAGCUGUGCUGAAAAAUGACAGAUUAAAGUGAUCAUGCAGUUCAUUUUAAAAUACAGAUAAUUAAGAUACCGGACGGAUUCUUUGUCUAUUUCUGCUUGAGGGUCUAUCGACUUAAAUCUUAUCUGCCCUUGGUGCGACAAAAUUUAUUGGAAAACAAGCGACACCUCACAAUGCACGGUUCAAUUUACAGACAUUCAGCAAGCUUACACAUCAGUCAAUCAAUAGUUUUGGAUUAAGUGUUACUGGUGAGUUAUAUGAGGUAAUAUAGAGGUGGGAGAUUUUUCAUUACUGUAUGUUGUCUAUAAAGUUUUUUUCUUUCGCCUUCCUUUUUAUUUCCUCUAAUCCUCACUCCCUCACUGUUUGUUUUUCCAAAGCCUUAUUUUCUUUCCAUUUUUAAUAAGCUGAACCAAACCAUUUUCAGUUUUUUACAGCCGGUUUCACUCUUUCAGCUUUGAAUAAAUGGCGACUUUAUUUCCAUGAAAUUCUCAAAUGACAUAGAUUUUACUUUUGCAUAAAAGCAUGAAGAAUGCGCCUAAUAUCGGCCGCAUUCAUCUGCUAAGUGGACAUUUGCAUGGGUGCGAGGGGGAAGAUUGGGGGAGAGAGGGGGAACCACUAGCCUCCUGGGGUGACAGCGGUGCAGGGGGAUGACAUGUGACAGCUGUGACAGUACUGAAGGAGGGGGGGUGGGCAGGCAACUUGCUGCGCCCCCUGAUCCAAUUACGCCACACGGCCCCCUGUCAGACCCAGCAGCUUGACUCCAGCCACUCCGAGGACAGUAUUGAUCUCUUGUCAGGAGGACCAGUUGCCCUCCCUGACGAUACAGCGCCACUGCCAUCACACCCCCACUUUCACCAGCCAUCUGAGCUGCUUCUGCUCCCCUACCAACCACCCUCUUAAAUGACUAGUAAAAUCAGGUUAUGGCAUUCAGGUUCGGGAAAGAGAGAGAGAGAGAGGAGGUCAAGGGUGCUGUGUGCUAACUACUUCCAUAGCUAGCAAGGAAGUGUGUGCAACAUCCUGGGAGUGGUGGUGGUGAUGCACCUGUCCAGCUGCUAUAUGUACAGUACUUCCCUAAUGGUCUGAGAGGAUGCCGCCUCUCCUGGGUUGUAUGAAAGCGUUUGAUUUGAGAUGAUGAAAAGGCCAUUGCAAUUAGUAGGCCCCAAGUCUUUUUUUUUUUUUUCCGCUGGAGCUCGGACGGUGGAGACAGUGGCAGCUGCCAAUAACUUCAGCUUACAGAGAACGGACAAUUAGGCCGAGGCCUGUUACUGCGGCGAGUCCCACAUCUCCAGACCUUUGCACCAGCCCUACCUCCAAGCAUCUGCAGGUCAAUAGGCAAUGAUAUUGUGUGGAGCAACAGCUUGGAGCAGAGGUUAAUCAAACCGAAAGCACACACACAUCACUUGCAUUCAGCUUUAUUAUUCUUGCCACAAAGGCCAAGUGCAGGAGAGGAGGGGAGAGAGGGAGUAUCAACUUCUUUCUGCAUCACUGGGGGAGAAGAUCUUAGUAGGUUCUCAUUAAAUUUAAUGUACAUUGACAUCCCCUGCUCUAAAACACAUAAAAAACACGUCAUAAAUGAUGCUUUUCUUAAAUAUAUUGACUUGAGAAAUAGUUACUACAGAACUCCCCUGUUCCUCUGUAUGUUGCUCUUCUGGAUUGUUACCAUUUACUGUCCAUGGCGAGGCAUGCUAUCAACAGUCCCUAGAAAAACACAAAACACUCAGUAUCUGGCAAAUCAGUGUGAUCAACUGAUGCUGUGUGUGUACAGCAGCAUGAAAUUGGGCACAAUCUGGAAAGAAGCUCAUAGUCACUUUCAUGGUACAUGCAGUGUGUAUCCAAUGCAAAGUGUGAACAUUACCCGGGUCAGUCAUGCAUUCAGUUGUGACACAAAAGAGGUUUGGUCAGGGGUUAUGCAGAGGUAGACAAACUUGUCUAACUGGUUCAAAGAAGAAAAAAAACAAGGCUUUGCACAGACAUUGGUUUGAAAUUUUCAAUAUCCACCUGUCAGUUUUGUUGUUGAUGAUGACUACAGUCUGUCUUCAUCUUCAGGGUCCCUGGGAUGUUUUUUUCCAAAAGUAUCAUCUAUGUGUGCCAGAAAACCAAAAUCCCAACAAUUAGGGGACCCUGUGUUAGCAAACCAUUUGAACCCUGAACCCUUUCAGCAAUGUCUAGCUGAGAUAUAAGAUAAGAUAUACCUUUUCUUAAUCCCACAGGGGUAAAAUUCCAAAAUCUAUUUAAGAUCUCUGUAAGAUCUUCCCUCCAAUAGGGAUUGUCUGAAUGGCAGCAUAUUUUGCUUUAAAGCCCUAACUUAUUGCAGUAAUCAUGCCUUCCAUGUGUAAGCCGUCCAUGCCACUGGUCUUUGAGCAGCCCCGUCUUGAAUGCACACUUGAAUUGUGUGCUGAAGACAAAAAGGUGGACCCACUACUCUUUAGACAUGAAGAAAUGGUUUUCAAAAAGGAUGUGAAAUAUAGUUUUCCACUUCAUCUCAGUCCAUCUCAACUUGGCCUACAGUUUAAGCCUUCAUUCAUGGAUGUAGUGACAAACCCGUGUUGAAAGACUGGGUUUUAGUCUAUGCAGUGAUUUCCAUUACAGAGUUAGGUCUGUUUUUAAUUCAGUGCUGGGGGCAAGAAGAAAACAGCCAUCCAGUCCUGGCUUUUGGUUUUGUCUCUUUGGUACAGAGAAUUCUCCAGAUUCUGAAUCAUUUGAUGUGAAGGGGUAAUGAAAACCCAAAAUUCCUCGCAAUUUAAUGCCGAGGAACAUUUGACUGAAUUUGUUGAACUAUUUUAUUUGCCCACACAGUCUCUCACAGAGCAGUGAUCUUUAUUUCAGAGAGAUUUGGCCUCUCUGAUUUGCUCUUUUCAAAUGUAGUAAUGUUAGCUUCCCUGUUACAAAUGAACCUAUUUAGUCAAGAGAUGUUUUUUAAGGUGUCCUUUCAGCAUUACACAACUUUUGCCGUGUUUUGUUGUCUCUUUUCUAGUUUUUUUAAAAAUGUGUUGCUGGUAUUGAAAAUAAAAUGAGCUCUAUUUUCAAGUUGUAUUUGUACCAAAGGAUUGAAGUGUCUUGUAAACAUGUGAAACAGAAAUCCAUCUCCUAAAACAUGGUGACUUUUCUAAAAGCUGAACUUUUUAGAAAAACAAAUAUCGAUUUAUAUAUAUAUAUGUCUUUAUAUUUAAUAUACUAACUUUCAACACACUUCUAGUGAAAUUGUACAGCAGUAAAUUGAAUACUCCAAAGUUCAGGUUUUGUUUUCUGGCGUUUGAAAUGGGGAGAGAAAUGGCUCAUUCUUCAAGCUCUUCAAAGACUUUUCAAUUUCAGCAUCCAAUUUCCACAUGUUUCCCUCUAAUGCAAUACUUAGGUAGUGAGCAAAAAUAGACUGUGUCUGCACCACUGAGUUGUGAUAGGCUGUUGUGUUACUGCCAGACUUCUGUUCAGCAGGAGUGCAGCUUUUCUGAGCAAAAGUAAUCAUUCAUGUAAUUAAUCUAGAGGAAACUUGCGAGCAAAAUAACCCAGAUCUAUCGUGGAAACGGAAAGCUGCUCCUCUGUGUUAUUUGAUUUAAUGCCUUAUGGGACAAAGGAAAGGGAUAUGGGCAUGCUGCUUUUUUCUUCAGUGAUAUAAAUCAAGAGCGGUGCUAUGUAGAAGUUAUGUAGAAGACAGUUUUCAGGCAAAUGGAGCUACUGGAUUUAUCCCAAAAAUGUUAUGUCAGAUUAAUUUCCCUGCCUGGUUUACAGUAGUCAAAAACAAGCAAAGAUAUCAAUCUAGCUGAAUUAUUAAAAAACUUUCAAUUUAUUGUGCUAAAUCAAAACAAAAGUAAUAUGAGGAAAGUAAGAGCAGGUCUAAAACAUAGACUUCCAUGAUUUAUAGAGACCCAACAGUUAUCAAGCACUUGGCAACAAUUCCCGCUUAUUUUCAAUGAGCCUAAAAAAGAAGGGUUUUUUGUUUUUUAUCUCUUUACAACUUUGAAUAUCAGGAGAACCUCAUGUUAUGGUCAAGUUUGUUGUUAAUAUGGAUAAAGGGAGCUAGUUUGACCUUUUCCAACCAAGUUCAACAAUGUUUUUUUUUUCUGUUACAUGUCAUAUGAGGGGAAUAGCAAAUGUUCAUAUGUGAAUCUAUAACGUAAAGAUGACAUGACUUUCAAAACUUACCUCACUGGAAGGUUUAAAUAAUAAAAGGUACAGUAGCUGUGGGUGUGUGAGAGUGGGUGGUUGUGGUUUCUGUUCUUAGCUGAGCUUGGUAAUGAACGGCUGCCAUCUUUGUUAUGGCCUGUUGAUUAAAUGGAGGCUGUAUCUACAAUCAGCUGACAUUUAAAGACCCAAUCAGAAGCCAGACUUCCCCGUCCUCAGUGAACAGUGAAGGUAAUAUAAGUCUAAGUGUUGUUGACAGCUGGACAGAUGGAAUUGGUGAAGAAUUGGAUAGAUAAGCAGAGUCAAUCACUGCCUUUGAAUUAAUCAAAUAUUAUUUAUUUCCAUCCCAUUCAAAGCUGCAUAGUAUCCUAUUCAUUGGGACCUUGUUUGUGCCCUUAUCCUACUGCUCUGAAACUCUGCUUUCUUACACACUUCUGGUGCCAAUAAAGUAUGAUCUCAGACAGAACCAAGAAUCUACUACUUACAACAAAUAUUAAAUAUGUACAUACAAUUCAGUGUGACUUUGGAUUUCAUCAUGAAGGAAAGAAUCCACACAUUUGAAAUGCUGAUAUGUUGUUUAAUUCUUCCACGAGAAAUAAGCCGCUCUUUGUCAUCAAAUACUCUAUUCAAAUUUGUUUAGUCAAAGUGAAAUACGCUCCUCUGGAGUGAUGGCCUACAUGUGACAAAUAUAACAUUAUCCAACACAGAGUAGCUUCCUCUCAGGGACAUAUCACUGCAGCACAGACCAAAUUGGGACAUUGCUUCCCAUUUGGAAAGUGCAAUUAGGAGUGUUUUCAGACUUUCCAGUGUCAUCUGUGAACCAACACACCACUAACACUUCUAAACCAAAGAUAUUUGUCACACCUACUGUAAUGCACCAUCAAGUCUCUGAAGCGUCGGCUCCUCUGGAGGGGCCCAGGAGGGGAAUCAAGGAAUCUGUCGGGUUAAUCCACGCAGUGAAGAUUCCUCCUGUCAUCUCGGCUCUCUUUUACCACUGGCUUUUAAAAGCCAUUUAAAGGCAGAAAAGUGAACGGGACAGACAAGCUUGACAGCGACUCUUGAAAGAGCAUCUGUCUCCUUUAACACUUAAAUAUACUAUGAUACUGUCUUUUACACAUGAACUUAAUCUUAAUUAAUGAAUUGAUAUAUUCUGUCAGUGACAAAGCCAAAUUAUUUAAGAGAUGCCAGAAGCAAUAUGUCCACUCCUCCUAUAAGGAGCAUGCCAAGCUUUGCAUCACUCUGCAUAAUCCUUUUCUUAAUUAGACAUGUGCUUGAAAUUAUAGAGCAUCAUUAGAAGUGUUGAUCUACAGUGUAAUCCUAAUUAUUUUUAUGUAGUUAGAAAAUGAAGAAUACACAGUCCAUCCUAAAUCACUGCAUUAACUCUGCCUGGCUUGACUGUCACAUCUGUAAAAGAAAUGAGAGAGUUUCAUGUUGAUAAGAGCACUGGUUUGAGUGCUGCUGUAGCUUAAACUUUAAUGUAAAAUCACUGCAGGGUUUUGACUGAAAUACAACUCCAUUGCCACUGCUGCUUGGACACUUAGAAACAUCAUUCUCCAACAAUACAGAGAUUUGCUUAUGCAUUUUUGACACCAAAUAAAAAGAAUAACAUAAUAGACACUCAAUAAUAAAACAAUAAGACACUCUUGAAAGUAUGUUUCAAGAAAGUAAAGUAAUCUAUCUCACAUGAGGAAAAAGAUGUACAUUUAUUCCAUCUUUUCCUCAUGCUGUAUACUACCUUACAAUUGUUCAUUAAUGAUUCCCAGUAAAUUCCUUAAAAUGGUAAUUUGUCAUCCUGUCACUUCAUUUGUGACCUAAAAUUCCUCACUAGAGGCAUCAUCAAAUAAAUUAAUCACUACCCAGGAUCCAUCUCUCCCUUGUGCGUGCUAUUAUACCCGGCUCUCUUGUGUUUCUCUUCAUUUACAUAUAUUUAAUGGCCCAGUUGUGCUAGGUUGUGCCAUGCGACUAGCUCAGCUCAUGUCAGGUGAAAUAUUCCGACUGCCUCAGACUUUAACUGUGCCCAACCAUGUCUUGUUCAUUUUCCUUGAAUACCCUAAACACAGGAGAAUAGAGUGAAUUAGAGACAUUUUAUGAAACUGUAAAAUCAAAAGUGCACAUUUUGCAGGUUUCUGGUUGGGGAAUUACGCUAAUAAGACUGCACACUUUUAAGAAGCAGAGAGAGACAGAUCUUUUUCUGACACACAAAUCUGAUUUUUACAAAAAAAAAUUGAAAAUUGCUUACAGCAAAAAGAUCAGAAAAUUAGAUACACUAAGUUGUCCACACAAUUUGGUUUGACUUAAUUGUAUCUCAUUACAGCACAUGUGUACAGUACAUUACCCACCAGACAGAUCGCUUUGCUAUGUUCCUCAGGGGAAUUAUUGUGCCAUGUUGAGUGUGAAGCUAUGACCAGGCGCAGUGCUGAAGCCAAAGAGAGAAAUUUUAGAGCCAGAAUGGUCUAAGUAGGUUGAAACAGAGAUUCAAUUUAUCAUGUUUAUUAACCAGCAGGGACAGAGGGAAUUUUAACGGCUCUUUGUUUCACCUAAAACUUUUAUCUCCUGUCUGGUUGUCUAUAUGUAGUAUAGUGUGUUAAAUACAGUCAUCUCUGAAGUUUCAUUUUCCCACUAAACCAUUUUUUCCCUCUCUGUUACAAUAACCGUGUCUGUAAGACAUGUGACAAGAAAAACAAGAAAAUUAAAGCAGAAUGCAUAUUUUCUGUAGAUUUUGGGCUUUUCUUUUUUCCUGUUCAUCAUGCGUUUAAACACCUCAUUCCUCCUGUAUCUACAAUAAAUCCAUAAUGCAUAAUCCAUCUGUGGUAGCCACACUUUUGGCUUCUAGAUAAAUUUGAUAGCUUAUAACCAAUACUUAAAGGUUCUGGAUGCAGGGUAUUUUCAGCUGAUCCCAGUAACAACCUGCUCUUGAUGGCUGAUUUAAACAAGAUUACCAAGAUAAAUCUCUUGCAUUUAGUCUGAAACAGUUCGCAGUUUUUGCACACUUGAGGGUAGGGCUGCACGAUAUAUCGUUUGAGCAUCGUCAUCACGAUGAACUUGUGCACGUUGGCACAUUGCAGAGCCUGCGAUGUUGGAGGCGAAUGAACUCAUCUAAUUUCAAGGGUCGCUGACUGAGAUACGCUGCAUGUGCUGUGCAGCGAUCCACCAAUCACAUUUGUCCUUUCCUCAGUUGCCAAUCGGACUACCCUGCCAGCGGUCAAUCAAAAUCAGAGAGAAGGGAUCCACGCCCCUACAAAUGGAGCGAGUGGUGCUGCCGGUGUUAUGACUAGAAAUGCGUGUCCACUGAGAAUUACUUUCGGAACAUUACUCAUGACUGUUUAGCCCAAAAAAUUAGAGAUGUAUGGGUUUUAAAUUGUACAUUUCCAUGGACCACUCUACCAUAAGCAGUGCGCGUUUUGCGAGGUGCAUGCAAUUCUUGGCUGACAUGUGUUUCUCAGCACAACACCGGUAACAACAACAACAAUUGCAAAAUGAGCAACGAACAAGAGAAAACCACCGAAAAUGAAGAUUUGUUGCCAAAAAGAAAAGGAAAGUCGGUUAUCUGGAAUUAUUUAGGUUACAAGAAGCAUGAUGUCAACCAAAAUAUGUGUUCUGUGGCAGUGCCUUUCAUCUGCACAAUAAAAGCAAGCUAAAAAUAUCUCUAAGACAGACAGAAGCUAUUCUACUAACAUUCACAAAAAGAGGUUAGAUCAGUGCAGGUUAACUGUCCUGAAGAUUUCAGCAGUGCAGUAUAGCAUACAGUGCUAUUCAGGUCAUUCCUGUAUUUUUUAAUAUCGCAAUAUGUAUCGCAGGGGUACAAAAAAUUGCAAUGUUCGUUUUUUUCAAUUUCAUGCAGCCUUACUUGAGGGUAUGAUUAAGUGUGCCAGAUGCACAUUAAAACUUUUAUAUGCAAAACGCUGCUGCUAGCUGCAAGUGCCGCCACUUCAUAUUUCUUUAGAUUUCUUUAACUUUUCAGGUGACUUAAAAGAUUUUUUGUGUAACAAUCCUUAGUUUUCCUCCUUUUAACAGCAUGUUUUCCAGGCAACAAUUGUGCCGCCAUCAUUGUCUGGAACAGUGAAACACAAGCCCACCAGUGAUGCCAUUUUUACUCUCUUGUCAGCUUGUUGCAGCUGUGCUGGUUCAGUAACGUAACCCUAGGUAAAUGAAAUUAAUGAAAGUGAUUAAUCACCCAAAAUAACUAUAACUUUAUUGUUUUUUUUUUUUUUUUUUUUUUUUAUGCUGCUAGUCCAGGUCGAAUUGUCCAUUAGUUUUUAAGUAAGCACUUAUUGUAACCAGGAAACAAGUGUGUGUGGAAGGCAACAUGCAUCCUGGAAUCCAUCAGCAGUCACUUAAUGAUUUUGCUAUAGACGACUUGAAACAGAUUUUUACAUACUACUGAAGAUGUUGUAUUGCACUCUAAAAAGUCAUUUUUUACUACUAUACAAAGUCACCAACAGUCAAAAAAGUAAUCAUCCCUACCAAAGGCUAAAAUAAUCUUCAGACUAAAGCCCCUGAGUUUUAGCUUGGGUUGCUGAUGCCUAGCUUGGCCAGAUGUAUGCAUGCUGAGUGAGGGUGUAUUGUGUGUUCCUCUGAGAUGUGCUCAGUUCCUCUGGUAAAAUCACAGCAGCAUUGAAAGUCUGAUAUUUUGUGGAGGGCUAAUAUUUUACACACAACAACAACACUUAGCUGUGCAUUGUUUGUGUUUCUCGUUGAAUAAUCAUGUGAUGAAAGAUCUCGAGUACCCUGAUGCUAAAACAUAGUCCUGGUGUUAAAAAGGGUCUGUUGUAAAUUGUGAUAGGGUGUAUGCAAAUGAAUUACAUUGUUUUCUGAUUUUUUUUCUUUGGGUUCAUAAGAAAAAAAAAGAAGAAAAAAAACAUCCCAAUUAUUUUUAUGAGCACGUCAUGUUUGAACUUCCCUGCUCAUUAAGAGUCCCUAACACUAGAGGACAUGUGAAUGUGCGAGCAGCAUUACCAGAGACAACAACAAGCCCACGUCACACAAGGAUCCUCUCUCACCCAGCCACCCUGUUAGAAGAACCUCACAGCUCGUUUCAAAUGAAAUUAGCAUAAUUAAGAAUUAACAUGCAUUAAUUGUUGUUCUUAACGCAAACUGAAGCCAAAUGUGUCACUUGGUGUAGAGGAGCUGCUAAAUGCUCUGUCACCUCCUGCUUAGGGGAGUGGAAACACUCCAUGAGCUUGUGAAAGAAGAAGCGCUCCUACAGUGUACAUGAAGCUCUGUCAGUGACAGAUAUAUAAACAAACAUGUCUUCAGCUGGAAGGCUGGGCUGACAUGUAUGCCUGUGAGUUAAAGGAACGGCGCAGCGUAUUGAUCAAGGGAGUUUGUGAUGUUGGAAGGAUGGCUUUAUGACAAAGGAAGAGAGAACAGGGGAUAUAAGAAGUGCAGAUUGGUCUAACCAGGGCUCAACCUGGCAAUAAAGUCUGGCAUUUGGAGAGAGCAGAACGCUCUCAGGGUUAUACUGUACGGUGCCACUUUGAGUAGUGGAGGAGCUGUCCUUUUCGCCUUUACUUUGUGGUCUGUCAGAUGGAGGGGUGAUCAAAGGAGAUCAAAAAGAUGUUUUUUCAAACCCCAGAUGAGGACUGUGGAUGUACCAAUCGUAUACCACUGCAGGGCCUCUGCUGUUGUGGCUUUAGAGUGGGAGUCCUGGUGGACCCUUGUCUUUUUAAUAUCUUGAAUAAAGUCAAAGGUAACAGGAAAAGGAUGGCUGCUCUGUUGGAUUACUUGAUGUAUUUCUAAGGAAAUUUAUUUGCAAUCAGCACUGACAUAAAUGGACCGUAUAAAUAACCAUUAAUAACCUAAUAUUAUAACUAUUAUAAAAAAAAGUGUAUAAUCCCUGCAGGUGUAUUUAGAAAAUGUUCAACUGCCCCUUCUAUUAAAAUGCCUCAUAGGUGCAGGUAUCUGUAAAGACACUUUAAGUCUCUUUAGUAACUAUUGGUGUUACUCCUAAAUCGCUUUAAAUGCAACCCAAUCUGUGUCAUCCCCUUUUCCACCAAAAGCAAGGGUUACCACUUUAGAAAUAACAUAAAGAUACUGAUCAUUCGCAUUGAAGACGUUUUUGAUAGUUUUUGGUGCAAUCACUUAUCACUGCCUCUGCUUGUAGUCCUAUAAAGGUUAAUUUUGCUUUUAAAACCCCUAUGAGGAGUUUUGUGCUUAUAACAAAACAGACUGAUUUUAACUGAUUGUGACUUAAAAAGGCAAACAAGACUAGUCAAUCCCAUAUUGUACUUUUUUUCAUACAUAUGAACUACUAUGAGAGAGUUGGUGUUGGUGAAGAAAAAAACUUUUUUAAUUCUUCAGCAGCAAAUAUUCAAAGUGAGCGAUCCAUUUAACUGCUUAAAGGGAGCAUUUAUUUCAUCUUGAGCUGUCAAAUUGAGGAUAGGCAAAAUAAUGACAGAGAAAUACCUUAAUUUGUAAACCUUAUCAAUAAAUACAGUUCAUUUACAUGUCAUCGUCCAUUUCCAAAGCUGUUCAAAUAUGGGAUUUAUCCACGUCAUCAGCUCUAUGACUAAGACUUCUUUGGAGAAGACAUUAACCUAAAGAUGUCAUCCUCUUAUUUUUUCAGUCUUGUGUUAAGGUAGCUCUAUUCCCAGCAUGACAAAACCAUGCUUUUAUUUUGAAGGGUUAAGCUACUUCCUGCAGAUGGUUAGCUGUGAACCUGGAUGAAAACAAUGAAAAGAACGAUGUAAUUUAAGAACAUUUAAUUGAUUUGUAACCUGAAGAGACAAACGCUGUGAGGUUGUUUUCAGAUGUACUGUAAACCUUUAGAUGUUUAUCCCUCCCUCCAUUUAAUAAUGUGCGACAACCAGCACAGAGGACUACUCGUAUAAAUUCACAGCAUAACCUUGUUUUCCAAACGAUGGUUAUUGUCAAUACCAGUGUAUUGGGACAGCCCUAACUCUUUCUGCAAAUGUGCAGGACAAGAUCAGCAAAGAGAAGAGUUCUCACUUUGUUCACAGAAGUGACACACACAGAAAUGUCCCCGAGUUAUUAUUAGAAAAGCAUAAAACUUCCUCGGUUUGUCAAUAAGCUGAGCUAUUUUUGACAGAAUUAAUAUCAACAGAGUAUAUCAGUAUGUGUUUAUCCAGGUUUUAUGAACAUAACUUACUUGACAGAGUUUACUGUUGCUGUUUUAGUCACAUAGAAAAGCAUUCACUCAGCAUCAGGCCAAUAGCUGUGCUUGAAAAAUAAAGGGAGUUGGCAUUCAUUUGCUUCCAAACUCCCCCCAGGUGGACUGCUUUAGCUGUUAUUCCCUCCUUCUUCUUAGGAAGGUGCAGACGCUUACAUUUACAAAGAGCUGGGAGGUUUUCCACAUUAAUCUAGAUUUAAUAUUCGUUUCAAAAUACGUUUUCCCUAUUAAUUAAAAGUAAACCACGUAUUGUAUGGUACAUUAUCCCUCUAACGGCCCCAUGUGGAGAUUAUGAAGUGGAAAACUAAUGGUGUAGACUUUAGCAUUUGGGUGUUGCCUGAGUAAUUUACAUAUCUGUAAGGGGAUGUCGAUGUAUGUGCAAAUAAGCAGAACUCAGUGUGUCUUGUGCUUCCUCUGCCCCCACCCCCUCCUCCUCUCCUUACCUUGUUUUACAGAGGAAGUCAAAGAAGAAGUGUUGCCUCUCUCCCCUCAGCUAGAGAAGGUAAUGAGAUUCUGUGCACCCUCUAUUACGAGGAGGAUGAGAAAUCUGAUUAUUAAGGAGAGGCAUGUGGCAGUAAGAAAAAUUUGUUUGUUUUUUUCUUAUUGUAUCACCCCAAGAAACAAAGGUGACCCCCAUGUUCCAUUCAUUAAAUCUUGCCUCCUCUAAUUUAUCAAGGUAAACUAUCACACUUUCUGCUGAGCUAAUCAGAAACGGCCAAACUUGUUAGGUGAGCCUCAAAAGGACACAUCCGCGGAUUUGGAUAUCACUUCUGUAUACUGAGUGGGGCCUAAUUCAUGCUUCCCACUGAACAACAACAAAUGCUUUAUGGGCAUUUGCAUGUGUGUAUUGAGAUUUUUUAUUUCAUACAGGAAAGUUCAGGACAAUGAGGAUGAAUUAUGACCUGCAGGACGGAACAAGUGUAAUUAUUUCAAGGACGCAGAGUUGCUGCAGGUGCAGCUUUCUGAUGAAAAUAUCACCGGAAAAAUCAUUUGUGCAAAAAUGUUCAGGCUUUAGUUAUUAGACCUCAAACAAUAGUAUUAAAUCUCAGUAAACAGUCCUUUUUUCUGCACAAUUAGAUACAGACGGCAAAAGGAAAUAAACAGGCUCAUAUGAUGAAAAUACAUUUCAAAAUAAACGGUUUUAGUUAUUUUUAUAAGUUUACUUUGAAAAGUUUUUGGAGAAUAUAACACGUGAGAUUUCCUCACACCAUCUUAACAAAGUAUAAAUCAUGAGAAAUUUAAAAUAAAUGAGCCAGGAGGGGAGAGAAUCUCUUUUCCUCAGCUCUGGGAGUUGUUAGGAGCUAUUUGAAGAAAAGUGAGAAACAUCCCACACAUCAGCAGGCUGAGUCACUGCUGUACUGCUAACCAGUCUCGACUUAUGCCCGUCCCUCCUCCCAAAUGUCACAUGAGCUCACAUCAGCUCACACUUGUAGCCGAGACUGCACGGGAUGAAAAUUCACAAAAAAGGAAAAGAAAAUACUUGAUUUUAACCACGGAGAGAUCUUGUCCAAAAUAGGUUAAAAAAAGUGCAAUUUAUUCACCUACAUAAUACCAUGGCAGGUUUUAUGAGCAUCAUUUUCAAACAUUUCUAUUCUUUAGCUGUGUUUUACUAUUCUCUUUAUAAAAUUAAAGAAUUAUACGUUUGUAUAAUAAGAGGUCCUGGCGUCUUAAUCUGUAAUAAACACAGUCUAACAGGCGUGUUUUAAUCCCGUUGAGAGCUGCUUAGGCGCAUGAGUUCUGCAGGUGCUGGUGAGAAAUUAGUGUUUAUUACUGAGCUGGUAAUCACACCAACAACCUCUCUCUGCAGGGCUUUAACUUCUGACUGAGACCGUGAUGUGCACAGCAGGCUCACUAAGCUGCACUCUCGGUUUAAAUGACCCAGCCUGGCUAGCAUGUCUGCUUUGACCUGCUCAUGACAAAGCCCUGGUGUAAUUAAUAUGCACACUGAAACGCUCCCUACACGGCAGCUAACGCGAUUGGAAUCAUGCACAGAGAAAAAUCUUAUAUAGAUUCUGUACGCUGAACAUUUCAGUCAAGAGGCAUCUGAUUAUAAGAAAGACUUUUUUUUUUCCUUCUCUUCUGACAUCCUUUAAGAUUGAGAUUGAGACUUUCUCCUCAAAGAUUCAAAUUAAUCUUUAAAACUGGACAUUUUCCAAACAUGGGGAGCUCAGUGGGGUGACAGUGAGGCCCACAGAGUUCAUUUUAAUCCCUAUGGGCAAUUUUACUUUCAAAUAACAUCCUGAAGUGAAAUCUUGUUCACACUUAAUUAAUUUAAACACUUCAUUUUGGAGAUAAAAGUCUUCAAGUCCUCCCUAAGACAAAACUGUUAUUUAAUAGGAUACAGUAGACUCUGUGAUAAGGAGAGUUACGCUUUAUGCUGUUUAUUAAUUAAUUAUGUCCUCUUUGUGUUUUGCUCUUUAUAUUCAUGUCCAUGUGUUUGGAUAAUAUAGAGAUCAGAUGGUAUUACACUGAUGACAUUUCUUUGUCUUUCCUUUUUUAACUGAUGUGAUCACAUGUGUGGCUUUCAGGUCGAGACUUUUACCGUAGAAAAUGUUCAGUGACAGACAAACACAGUCAGGAAAGACCUCAGUUUUACUCUUUUUGAAGAGACUUUAAUACAUUAAUAUUUGAGCCUAUAUAGUUGUCUAUGUAUGUUAAAAAUAUUGAUGUGAGUACAGGCAGAGAUACUCUGGCUGUAUAUUUGUCUUUCCUAAAUGCUGAGUUAAUUAAUGGUAUGUGUGCACUAUUGUUUCUCCUUUUUAUAAUGAAUGCAUCACUGCACUGUCACUGAGUCCAUUUUGACAAAUAGGUGGGUGGAUGGAUAAAGAAAAAAACAUACAUUGGUGGUUGCCAAGGGGUUAGAUUUUGAAUUAAUUGAGGGAAAUGAAUUCAGCAGUAAUAGGCGCUGACAGCAGACUGUGGCAAUUGUGAUGGCAAUGAUUGAUGGUUGAUGCACACACACGGCUUAUGACAAAUAAUGCUUGUUUUUGCUCCUGGUGUGUUUAAAAUCCUACUUGUGUGUUCAUUAAAAAUAAAUACAUCAAGUGAGAAACACAUACAUUGAUGAAUGGAAAAGAUUUUUUUUGGCUUUUUAGAUGGAUGAAACAUUUUUGGUGAUAAAAAAGUAGAGUGUCUGAGGGAGUCCUUUCAGGGAGGUGCAGCAGCCUCCUCCAUCUCUGACCCACAUGAGCCAGGGAGCCCUAUCACAGCUCUCAUCACGCUCCUGUAGUCAGAGCCUUCUGACAGAGGCGUAAUGCUGAUCAGAUAGCUGUGUGGAGUCAUUGCUUACAUGUGUCACAACCGCCGUCCAUGAUCAUGUCAGAGUCACGCUGGGCGCCAGAGCCGGGCUCAGGGCUCGGUGGACCUGGCUGGUUUCGCUGCUGACAUUUCCACAGCAUGACCGGCGCUAUAGCGGAGCUCCACUCGCUGCAACCCUCGCUGCUAAUGUGGCUCUCCUGGGCCCCGCAGCACAGCGCUGGCAGCUGGAACGUGGGGGCCACAGGUGCUGCCAGGCCCUGUUAGCUUUACAGUAGCUCCUGGUGAGUCACAAACAAUCCCAGCGUGUGUGUGCUCUGAUACCUCCGCUUAUUAAAAGUCUAAUGAAUAAACAAAGGCUUUGGUGUGCUUGUUCACGGAGUUGGUACUGGGAUAAACUUCCAUUCUCUUGACUGUAUUGUUCAUCCUUUAUUUUCAGCAAUGACAAAAGUAGUAUCUCUAAUUAGCAGGAAAAUAGAAACCUCCAUUCUUGUCCUGUUGAUUACCUGGAUAUCACAUGAUUAAAGAUAACCAGAUACCACUCCUCAGUCUGUUCCUCUUUUUGUUGAUAAACAGAGGUCCGUGGACGGCUGCGGUUAAACCAGAUUGAUUUAUUGGUCCUCCGGCCUGGACACGAUUAUCUUCUGACUCUGGGGAUCAGCCUGCUUCCCAAACAGGACCGGGUCCUGCCACACAGUCAUGACAGCUAAAUUGUUUCACUCAAGAGGUUGUCCCCCACCCCCCACCCCCUUUACCUUAGCCACUUGUUACUGCAGAGGUACUGUAUAAUUGUACCCAGAGGAACUUGUAAGCCUAUAUUGUGAGUGUGUUUCUCUUCAGGAGCGCAGUCCUUUGUGGCAACUUAAACUGUGAGGAGAAGGAGGAGGAGGAGGAGGAGGAGGAGGUGGUGUAUAUUCCCUCUUUGUUGGAGGCAAUAUUGGACUGAGGUUCAUAAAGUAAGGCACCGUUUAGUAUCACUUACUUACUGUGGAGCUUUGAUUUUCCUCUCAAGACCAAUUUACUGCACUCUCUGUGUUAAUUGUUUUAUUUUAAAAUGAGGCAUAUUUUACAUGCAUGGUGAUGUUUAUUUAUGUGACUUUACAAUUUGACCAAAUUUAAGCUUUUGAAUGUAACCCACCCGAUGCUUUUUUGGUGGGAAUAUAUCAGCACUCGGAGCGAUAUCUAGCCGCACAUACCUGAGCACUUUAAAGUGAAGGUGAACAUGUUGGCGAGAAGAGACAAGAAAGAAAGGAUCUAUAAAUGGCUCUGACUCCUUUGGUGUCUGCGAUGGCGGUGGUGUUGGGGAGGAGGAGGAGGGGAGGUGGUGGAGGAGGAGGAGAGGGAGGGAGGUGGGGGUACUCACUGACCAUUAGUGCGCUCAAGUGCAGUACAUUCUAUGGCCUGUCAACUCUUCUACUAAUGUGUGAGGAAAUAACUCUAUUUCCCAAGCCAGUGAAAAUCACCUGCUCUGACAUGACUUAGAGUACACACUGUUCAGAUUUCUUCCUUUUUUUUUUCCUUAUGGAGAAUUUGCUACCAUAGCCACUUGAUAAUACCGCAAAGUUAACAUGGUGUUGUAGGUGUUUGGAGGAAAUACGCACAGAAAAAAUAACAUGGAGGUCGAACACUCUAAAGUUUAUCGAUAGAAUUGAAGUAAGAAAAUUAAAAGCAGGUCAAAGCAACAAAAAUGUCACAACAGCAGCAAUAACCAUACAGCAAAAAAGAACAUUUGGGUUGAAAAUAAUCGGCACAAAUCAAAGAUAUUGUUGUAUAUCUGCAGCAUUUUAGAAAUCAAGGGAAACAUCAUAUUUAGCUUUGUUCCUUAAAAAAGUCAAGCCUCAAAAUGUACUCUUUCUAAAUUUGUAGUACAGUUAAAAAUUUAGGUGCAUCCGUCUGGAGUUUGAAAACAACUUGGCUAAACAACAGAAGCACAAGACCCCCUUCUCCUUUCUUCUUAUUUGUGCUAUUAUAUAGUGAAUAUUAUGUGUUGCUGUCUUUGUAGAUUAGCACAACAACUAUGUAAGUCUAAGUGUUUGAGAUCUUUCUGCUGCGCCGCUCUCUCCCGUGUUAUGACAUUUAUUUUUAUCAGAGAACGAUUAGGGAGGUUAGUGAAAAAGAAACACUGUAAUUCUCCCCACGUCACAGCGAUCCUCAUGAACAAUAAUUUUCUUUAAGUAAUGCUGAGUGGUAUAGAACAAAUGAACCUCCCUGUGCAUGUCGCAUUAAGAGGCGCCCAGUGCUGCAGAGAGGUGUGUGUUGAGGGGUUAACCCCUGCUGUUCCUGUCUGUCCAUACCCACCCACCCCCCUUACCACCACCACCCACCAUCUCACCUCCACCCCCCACCCUAGCCUCUUCCUCUCUUCUCUCUCUCUCCACUCCUGCGCAGGGCCAAUACAAACAGCAUUAUUUAUGCUCGGCAAAACACCCCUUAAUUACUCAUGAACGGGCGCACGCUCCAGAGUCCGCCGCUCCCUACCACCCACCAACAGCCAUUAAACACUCCCUAAAAGCUCGCUAUUUGAUAUUAGCACACUUGAGCCUUUGAGGAGAAAUUAAAAAAUAAAUAAAUCUGGGAGUGAUUUACAUAUGCACAGCAGCUGAUAUUUAUACUCGGCGGUGCGUCCCUGAAGGGCUUGUCUUAUUACCUCUGUCCUCGGGUCCUAGCACAGAGACCAGGAAGGCAGGCAGGUGAUUAAUUCUGUACUCAUGAGGAGCCAACAAUUCCACAACAGGGAGGACGAUUCCUGUGGCUUUGUGCCGAGAAAACUCACUUUACUUUCUACUUUUCCUGUCUUUGCAUUUCCAUAUCCAAGUUUAUUGUCCUGUAUUAGAACCAACUAAGUGGUGAAGAAAUUAUUUUGUACUGAGAUGUUUUUAUACCUUUUAAUUGUAUCGAGCUAGUCUGGAAAUAAAUGCGUCUUUGUAUGUUUCAGAGCUGCAUUGAGGUCUUGUUGUGCAAACACUUUAAAGAGCAGCGAUAAACGCCUCAUGUCUUUGUGACGCGGACAUCAAAGUAUGAGGAAUCUUGGAUCAUUUUUAUCACAAACACUCCACUCAUACCACUGUAUAUUACCAUCCUGAUCUCUCUUAAACAUGCAUUAACUGUCAGUGCAGGAAUGAUGUCAACUGCACAGCCUACAUCUCACCAAACAACAAUAGUAUUUUUAUUUUUAUUUUUGCUGCACUUGCUGCCAUAGAAACCUCAAUACAUACUACAUCUUGAAUCUAAAACCUCGAGCUUCAUUAGUUGAACCAGCAGAAACACACUGUUCAACUUCUUCAUCUAAUUACAUCAUCAGACUCAAACAGUGGAGCCAUCAGCUGCUGGCUUGCUGUGUAGUCCUUAAAAUCCCUCUGUCUAAUUACUGCUUUAGUCUAUAUCCCUCUGACAUGGCAGUGAUAUAUCAUUAUUUUCCCCUGCAAUUUGUUAUAUUCUUUGCAAUAUAAUUGGAUCAGAUUAAUUAUUAUGAUUAAUGGAUUCCCUGGUUUCUGUGUAUAACUAUUAAUAUUAGAGGGUUUGAAAGAGGCAGCGUACACACACUUGAGGUAACGGAGCAGUUUAAGCACCUUACAGAAAUCUGAUUAAUGUCUUUAUCAGAAGGUUUAAUGUAUAUGUUGACAUAGAACUUCACUAGUCCUGCUGUUUUACCCAGUAUUACAGUGUAUUUUUAGCUUAUAGUGAAGAAUAACUUUAAAGACACUAAUUUUAAAGUUUUCUGUCAUAAAAUAACAAAAAAGCCAUUUUUAUGUCUUCAAGUAUUGUAGUAAUUCUGUUUUAACAGUCAGCGCCCCUCUCUUUACCACUGCAGACAUAUCCAAUCAGCUCAAUCUCAAGUUUAUAACAUGAUAGCUUAUUAAUUAGAAGUGAAAAUGCUUCCCGAAGCCCUAAAUCUUCACCAAUGCUGCAAUUUAGCGCUCCCAAAAAAUACUGUCCAGUUAUGUUGGAUGGACACUAGUCAAUUCCCCGUGCAUGGGAAUGGCUCAUUAACGGGCUGAGGCAAGCCGCGUGCGUUUGUGUAUGGCUGCUGGUGGUGGAUGUGUAGAAUGGAUUUAUGGUGUCACUCAGCCCUGGAGAACGACUAAUGAGGGUGCGCAGGCUAGCAGCGUCCGAGUGGGGUAAUUCCACCCACCAUCCAUCCACCAGAGGGGGGUUGGAGAGAGGGAGUAGAGGAGGAGGGGGGGUUUGUGGAAGGAGGACACAUCCCUCAUUACGUGCGAGUGUCUCAGGAGCUUUCUUUAAUAUUUUAAUAAAUAACAUCAGCCCAACAAGAAAUUAAUGAAUAGUAUCAUUAAUAAUGAGCCCAAGCCUUGUAGUGAUAGGACAGAUAUUAAAUUGAACCACUGUGGGGAGAUCUCCUGAGACUCGGGAUUUUUCCAGCAGCAAACAAGGCCAGUGAAUGAGGCAGCCGUCCCUCCGUGCCAACAGCUUUUACAACAGGUUGAAAGUAAUAAAGGAGGAUUUUCCCAGCGAUAGAGUUAAGCCCCAGGAAAUCUGCUCAUGUAGAUCGCUAUGAAAGGCACAGCCAAAUGUGAUCCUUAAUUAAACUUUAAUCAAGAUAAUGCUGUUUGCAGGAGAAGUAGUUUAAAAAAGGUGUCCCCAGCCCCCCGUUUUCCAUCCAGUCAACCUCCCUGCUUCAUAUUGUAGCGGUCAUAACCCCACUUAUCUGCUUCUUAAACUUGUGUGUGUGCUUGUUUGUUUGUUUGUGUUGUUUGUUUUCAUUCGCAAAGCCGGGUAUUCUUUGGUUGUAUGGUUUUGAUUCAGGUUUACAUUUGUCUGGAUUUCUCUGUUUUGUCUGUGUGUGUAUUUGCUCUUAGUAGGUGCUACCCCCAAGAUUAAACUGAAGAAAAAGCUUAUUUCUGUUGCAAAAUUAGCACUUAAUACCCAGGCAACAUGGUUUUCAGUCAGACUGAUAUUUUUCAGGGAAAAACGGUUUGCACACAGACCUGAAGCCAGAGAAGGGACUGUACCUGACUAAAAAUUAAAGAUAGCAGAAGAUUUGUGGGUUGUGGGUUUGUACCUGCGAGCCAAGAACCAAAAACUUCACUGUAAACUAAAAGACUUAUCAACGGGUUUGCAGCUUCAGUAUCAAAACCACAGAUGAGCAAUGACACUUACACCUUUAAAACCCUAUUAUUUCUAAUAGACAAAUAUAAAUAGUGUUUAUGGAAAUCACUUAGUCAGAGAAUUUCUCAGCAGCUUCAUCUUCAAGUAAUUUAUGCCACUUUUUAGCCACCAAAUCUGCGCUAUGCAUUCUUGUUAACAUAUUACACAAACAUCUCGUGGAAAUACAACAUCUUAUCUUAAAGGUAAAAUACAUUCAUUUACAGGGAGCAGAUUUGGGUCAUGCUGUGUGUUCAUUUACAUAAUAGUAUGCAUUAUCAAAGCAGGUAAACUGCAGUAGGAGACAAAGUGCGAACACUUAAUCAUUGUUGUGUUAACUUAUUACAUGAAAAGUUAAUAUAUGGAGCAUUCCACUGUAUAUCUUUGCUGUUUUAAUGCAAACAGACGGUAUUUACUACUGAGGAAGUUUACUGGUUCAGGUUCAGGUUAUCUUUAUCGUCCCACAGGGGGGAGGCUUGUGUUGCAGAAGGAGCGCACAAACUGACAUGAGGACGUCAUUUAUGGACCCAAAUUUUAAUCAAACUUGAAACAACACACACAACUUAAAUGACACUGUAUGAGAGGACAAAAACAACAAUGUUUACACUAAAAUCAGUGCUUUUGUGCUUGUACUUUUAGAGACUUAAGGAAUCGUCCUUAAAGACCCACGUUUUCUCCCUUGCGUUUCAUAAAUGAGCACACACAAAUCAAUUUAUUCUUUUACUGUCUGUAUUUUGUUUCCACUGUUUUUAACUUUAUUGUUUUAUUGUAAUAUAUCUAUUUAUUCACUUCUUUUAUUUAUCCUAUGUACAGCACUUUGAUUGACUGCUGUCUUCUUAAAGGUGCUUUAUAAUGAAACUUGUCUCGUACAGAUUGUGCACAUCACGUUUCUGUGAUAUCCAAACUUGUGUCACAUUUGCUGGCUGUGUUCUGCCAGCAGAAAUCCUGCAACUGUCUGUAUUUAAAUAUAGUUUUUAAAGACUUGAAUUUUAGCCAGACUGUUUUGUUUCUAUCUCAAUAAUAAAAAACCAAAACAGUCUGAUUAUUGAAAUAAAGUUCAAUAAGAUGUCUUUAGUGCUGAAUUGUGUGUCUGAAAUUUGGCCUCUCUUUUCUGUUGUGUUCUGUUUAGACCAUAUGUCCCCACCACGUACAAUAUUUAUUCAUUCCCUGCUGUAUAAAAAAAUACCAGUUUUUCCUUCAUAAUAAAAAGUGGAUUACCGUGAAUCACAGGAAAGCAUCACCAGCUGUCACGGUGAAAUGAGACCAUGCUGGCCAAUGUCUACGAUGAUUAAAGAACACAUUUAGAAAUUAGUCAUUAAUUAGCUGAUUUUUCUUUCCAUGCCAUAAAUAUUCCGUACGGGUCAUCAGUGAGUUGUAGAGUUUGAGAUUAUCAUAGGUAAGGGUGUUAAUGUUUCUAAAAGUUGUUCCACAGGUGGAAUAUAAAGCACGAACUGCUUAAAAAAUCUAAAGUUUUCAUGUUUAUGCAUAUUGGAAUUAGGUGUGGGAACCACUAGUGGACCCAUGAUAUGAUAUUAUCACGGUACUUGGGCCACAAUAUGAUUUUUAACUUUCUGCAAUACAGCGAGUAUUGCAAUACAAUAUAUAUUAUACUAUUUUUUCAAUUGUUCAGUUGAAUUAGCAUUUGUCUUUCCUUUUAUGUUUGUCUUAUUUACACUGUAUUUUAUUUUUAUGUUGCACAUAUUGCAAACCUCUUAUAUAUUUGUUGUACUUACUUUCUCCUGCUCUAUGAUGUCACCUCUGCCAAUCUCACUGGACUAACAGUUGAUUUUCUUUUUUUCCAUUAUCAUAGAUUUGACUUCAUAUUAGCAAUUAAUUUGAAAAAAAUUGAUACUUGGUCAAUGAGACAAUAUGAUAUAUCACCAGAAGAAAUAUCGUGAUACUAUGCUGUAUCGUUAUUUUCUCCCACUCCUAACUGAAAUACAGGUUAACACCUCCAACCAGUCUACCUAAACUUACACUCAAUGUUGCGCUAAUUUUAGAUUUUUAAUUUCUUAUCGACGUAAUUUACUUAAUGCCAAUUUUAGCUUCAAAACGUGAAUAAUUUCUCUUAAAAGAAAGAGAAAAAAUGUGGUGAAACUUUUGUUAAAAGGGGUUGCAUGGUAUAAAGGUCAAGCUGUUGUUCUGUACUUAGUGUAGACUAAAAAGGGACACUGAUACCUCUGAGGUGAAAAUGCAGUAUGCAGUCUUCACCACCUGAAGAAUGAACAGUCUUCAGGCUUUGACUGAUUACAGCGCCACCCUUGCUUGUUUUGUUGCCUCCUCUAAAAGCGAUACUCAGCAGAACGUGGAUUUUUCUCCUUCAUGUUGUGCUUUCUGCAUGAGUAAUUACAUCCUUGAUUUCUGACGUACAGAAAAGUCCAAAGAUUGAUAGAGGCUCUGUGUAUGACGGGACUGUUAUUAUAAUGGCAAAAUACACAAAAAAAGGAAGAAGGAGCGCAGAUCUUCAUUUGUAUGGUCUAUUAAGAUGCGCGUAUGUAUCUGCGCUCAUGUAGUGAAGAGCACCACUAAGUUAAGCUGCACCUCUACCACUCACACAGAAUACUGUAGGAGGCUGACCCGACAAAGACAAAUCACACUCACUCGGAUUUCCAUAGUGCUGUACAUCUUUAAAUCAUAACGACUAAACAAUGAACAACACUGGGCUGGAAGCAUCGAAUGAACAAGAGCACCCAGGCUGCUCUUUUUUCCCCCUCCCUUCCUUUCGUGCUGCUGCUGAAAUGACUAAUGCACGGAGGGUCAUGGUGUAAAACUGUUGCCCCAAGGUCAGCACACUGACACUUAAUUGUUUGUCCUGUCAUGUGUCACUUCCUUGAAAUUUCAUAUCUGACCCUUGUUAGCCCAGUGUUUCUGUUUUAAUCCUCAGUGUGACAGAAAGAUCAGGACUGUGCCGUGAUCAAGAUGUGUCAGAUUACUUGUGUUGGGUCCUGUCAUUUUGAUGCAAUACAGACUGGAGAUGCUUGGCUGUCAUGUGUAGACUGUGGGGUGUUGUGCUUUUUCCACAAAUUGGUUUCUUUACAUUGCUAUAAGUUAAAACAAUAGCAGAAGAACAGAGCCACUCAAAAUCAGAUUCUCGAUAAUCCAUCUCCUUAUUUGUGACAUAAAAAUGUUCAGAAAUAUAUCUUAAGAUGUCCCAUCCACAAAUAUUCCAAAAACAUGUGUUUGCAAAAUUUACAAGGCAUCAAAUCCAGGAUUCAAAGUUGCCUUCUUCCCCUUUGAUCAUGCACUUUGUCUCAUUUCUCACCAGCUUUUAUGCUCUUUAUCUGAUAUAAUUUUUAAGUGCCUUGGGAAAGAGUAAAAACCAAUACAAAUUGGAUUAUAAACAGGGAGGAACAUCAAUCACAGCUCACAGGUGUUAUUACUUUUUUCUUUAACCUGCAGCUGCAACACUACAGAGAAGAAACCCUCUGUCAGCCAGAUUAUCAUCUUUAGUCAAGGCAAAAUUCUGAUGUUUUUUUUUCCAAUUACACGUAAACGAAUGUUUCUUUUCUUUCUUUUUCAAUCUCUCUGUGUGCCUUUAAUUGAUCUGAAAGAAAACGCUCUUUCGCACACUGUGUCUGUGUGCCUGCAUGUGUCAGUGCAUGCUUGCCUUGAAGUACUGUAAACAUGAUUAAGCACUUUCAUAGUCAUAUUUAGUGUCAGCUUACUGCUCUGCUCUGCUCUUAAUUUUACAUGUUUCAUGGCUAUACAGAAUGAACAGCCACAUUACUCUCUCACUACUCCCGCCUACAUCCUUUUCUACACAGCAAUAACUAAUCACAACUGGGCUACAGGAAUUUAUGUGGACUAUGCAAUCUAAUGACUCAGCAAGCUGCAGUAUAUCCACCUUAGACUAUUAUCCACUAGUGCUACAGCACUUUGACUCUGGCACUUUACCUUGUUAUUUGUUGUUUAUGACAUAGUGCUUGAUGCAGCUUUUUCUUCGUCUUUACAUCAGUGUGUUUUUAGUAGGAAGUCUGUUUUUAGCAUGCACCUUUACUUUGUAAGCACAAACCAGGAGUUGAGCUCUGAAUUUUAUUGUAUCCUGAUACAACCGCAGCUCUACUUCUGAGAAUGUGGCCACUAUCAUGACAAGUAUUGAACUUAUAAUGAGGCUCAAAUUUUUUCUCACCUUAAUAGAGAAAAAAAAGAAGGUCCAUGCUUGAAUUAAUCAUCAAACAUUCCUCGAUUAAAGUAUAUCAGAUUUUUUGGGAUUAAUUUGUGGAGUUAUAUCACUUUUGUCCAUGUUGAUGUCAAGUAUCUCAAAUAUGAGGGCACAACAAAGCAUUUUUCUUUUUAGACGCCGUGUUACAAAUCAUCAUAAACUCCAUUAUGUGUUAUUUAUGAUGUCUUUUUUAUUCCUCACUCCCGCCGUUUCCCAUGUGCAUCACUGUGAGGUUAUCACCCUCGACUUAACAAACGACACGCUCGUGUUUGUAUGAAUGUAUUGAUCAGCGCUCUAUUUGGGCAGAUAUCUUUCUUUAUUUAGGAUGUCAGGCUCACAGGCAGGAAAACGCUGUCUCUACUCUUUCAUGCCAUGCUUUCUCUUUUUUUUUUUCUUUUUUUUUGCCUCACUGACUCCCCUAACUGCCUCGCUUUAUUGAAUAAAUUCAAGCUGUCACUUCCCAUGCUGGUGGAAUAACUCAAACACAAUAUAUAAUAAUACAGGAAAAGUAGGAUAAAAUAAUCUUGUCAUGGCUGUAAAAGUGAUUGCUGGAAGCCAUCGUCGGCAAUCAAUACACUAAUUCCGUAAUUUAUACUCGAGGCAAUCGAGGAGGAAGGAAGCUCUGAUAUGGUAUUUCUUGGCUCACUGACCAACUUUGACCUUCAGUAGAAGUGAGAGCGGGAUUAUUGUGUUGUUCAGCUCAAAGAAAUCACCUACAAGAGUUGAGAGGCAGUGUCUGACAUUUUAUGUUCAGGACCAAAAACCCUAAACUGAUUAAUUCUUGGUAAGCACCAGCUCUUGAGCUUUCACUAUCUUUAUGACAGCAAAUCCCUGACACUCAGCUGACAGAGUGAAACAUAAAAGCUGCCCGCUGAUUUUCUCUAACUUAUUUCUUUUAUCCUUUCUUUUUAUGGAGGGGGAGGUACCUUUCAUUUUCAACCCUGGAGCGAGAGGAAUUUUUCACUGACGCCAGAACUCAUUAUCAGCUCCUCGGUCUUCUCUUGCGGUUGCCAAUCAUAGGCUGCCCAUUCUCCAUUAAUUGUGUCUUUAUAUGGGUCAUUCCUGUCUGUUCUUUAUGGCGGAGGAUAUAUGCAGGGCAGUGCUUAAAUAGCUCCCACACUAAACUUCAAUAUUUAUCUGUAAGUCUUUUCUCAGGGAUGGCAUUGAUGUUUCUAUAGCAAGGUUGAGAUCCAUGAGGGCCAACUUAAAAACGGUAAACACCAGAAGGUGUCAGAAGUUGCUCUGAAAAGGAGUCAUUGAUUGCAAUUAGUAGAGAGAUUAUUUCAAGUGUUUUUCUGCCCCCUCUGGUGAUGCUAAUAACUUAAUGAUCCCUAAAAAUGCAUGCAAUUUGCCUCACUUGGAUUUAACCGUAUUGUAUACCUGGGACCUACAGAUUUCCAAUCACAGCCUCAGACACUGUAUAGAAAAUAACAGCAACAACAACAGCCAGGAAAUACCACAGCUAUUCUAACAUGGCUUAAUGUGAAGUCAUGAAUCUGCAGCCAUCACUAACACAGCAACAUUUCUCUACUUUUGCUACGUGUGUUGACUUCUUCCAUUAUCGUGAACAUAGAUGUGUUAUACUUUUUAUUGUUUCUAGUCUAAGAAUAAAAUUAUAGACAAUCAAGAAAAUGUGCCAAAAAUAACAAUUUAUGUUGAAAUAUGGUCAAAUAAUCUCUCAUGUUGGAAAUUCUGUCUUGAUAUUGAAUAAAUUAGUCAUUUUCUCGUUUUGGGGAACUUUUUAUUUGUCUGUAUUUUUCCCCCUGACAGUUUUACUGUUAAUUAAAACUAACAGUAGGACUUUACAUUACUGUCCCACUUAUACACAUUUAUUUACGCUAUGUUAUCGCUUAAAAAAUCAUGAGUUAAUCUGAUCAUCCAUGCAUUAAUGAUUACCUCAUAUAAGACAGAGUCUUUAUCAUGUAUGCUCUUCAUUAAUUGAUAAUGACGCACUAUUUAUUCAUUAAUUAAUUAGCCAUUAAUGCGUAGUACUAAUUAAUGCUGUUAGUUCAUGUGUUAAUUACCACAGUGGGUUAAUUCUCCACUGUUCUUCAUGUUGAGUUGGUGUUGAUUCUCCACUAAGUAAAAUCACAGCAUGAUUAUAUCUUUGUUAAACAUGAGUUGAUAAUUAAUUUAGACAGAGGCUGAUUAUAAUCUCAAAGACGAUAGCCAGUAGCAAGAACAGUCGAGCAAAUACAGUCAGCAUUUUACUGUAAAAGAUCAAACUAGAAGCAAAGUUGGAAGUUUCUCUUUGAGUUUGAUCGUUUCAGGUUGUGAUAGAAAAGUCACACUGGCAUGACAAGUCAGCCACAGUACAAAUAUGUAUUUUUAACUAAAUAUUACCAUGGUAGUGAUGUUAAAUCUGUCAGCACCUUAAUGAUAAUUCACUUUCUGCGUCUGUAUCAAGUAAGCAUACUGAAUGUUUAGUCCUAAUGGAAGCAGCAGUUAUGCUAGCUGUAGGUGUAGAUGAUAGAAGUGCCUUUGCAGUUCUGAUUAAGUCAUAAAUUGUUUUCUUUUGCAUUAUUUUAAUAGCACAUGUAUUUGGAAGAUGCUGUCUUUGCUCUGUAAGUCAAACCUGAGCCAAAUUCACUGUUUUUUCCUUUUUUUUUUUUCUUUUUUUUUCAAAUUACAAUUCUCUCAGUGGAGUAUGUACAUCUCUUGUUGCCACUGACUUUUGUCUCAAAGUGAAAUCAUGAUCAGUGUUUUUCUUGUAUAACGUAUGAUGCUAACUGGAGAAGGGUUGCAGGUGGGUUUAUCAACUCGUGAACGCUCUUCAUCAAACACAGCUGCUAUCAAUUCAGCUUGCUGUAAGUAGCAACUUUGUGUGAAAUCAUGAAUUAUAUCAUGCUAACAUUUUUGUCAACAGUUGAACAGCUCAAACACUGUGUUGCUGGUGGAAGUUGGGGCACACUGGGGUCUGCAGUUUACAUGCAAGCAUAAAUACUGCAGUCUAGCUGGCUGUCACAAUUUUCACUGCAUGAUAGGGCUGCCAUGAUAAUUCGAUUAAUCAAUUAAAGUUCCACAAUCAAAAUGGUCAACAACUAUUUCAAUAAUCUGCAAAUAACCAACGUUUAAUCGAUUAAUCGCAAAAAUAAUCAUAGUCGUGUCGAUUAUCAGAAUAAUCGUUUGUGGCAGCCCUACUGCAUGACAGGAUUUUUGAUCAGAUCGUAUGGAGAGAAAACUGUUCUGAAGUGUAUCUCUGUUAUUGGCAUGAAUAUGUCAUAUUCCCCUGCUGAGAUCUUUUUUAUUGCUCUGCUCUAAACCCCAAUCAUCUUAACCUUGAAUCCUGUCAGAAAAGGCUGUGUCUUUAAGAACAAACAGCUGAAAGUUGACUCACUAGCUUGUAACAAAAAGGAUCUGACAAAGAUCCUUUCCCAGAAUUAAGAAGUUUGAGUUCUUUAUAUAGAUGUAAGCUACUAUUAGCAACAGUAACAUCUAUAUAUUUUUAUUCUGUCAUAAUCCUUACUGUUCAAGAUCAGUAAUAGGCUCUUAGUCCAUUGUAUAACUGCACUGAUCCAAACUCCAACAAUGGUCAACAUGAUGAUGCAGUCUGGUUUCUGCACCCCCAACUGACAGAGCGUCUAACUCUACCGCCCCCAAUUAGGGAAAACUCCUCAAACAGUGACUGUGCUUGACUGUUUUCAGUCUGCAGAUAGAAGGUGGUCUCGCUCAGCAGGGGCCACAGUGAGACCCCUGCAGAGUCGGACCACCGCUCAUUGAGGACAGAAGGAACUGAAGGACUCAUAAUGAUCACUGUGUGUGGGGUUCAGUUACAGCAGGAGAUUGGAAAGAUGGUGCAUGACCUUUGCUAUAUUGACCUACUGGUUGACACCUAGAGGGGUGCUCCAACAACACAACAGAGCACAUCCAGGAGGAAAACAGGGAAAACUUUGAAUCCAUUGUAAGGGAUCCUAUAUCAUUCAUUUCAUACACUAAGCACACACACACAUGUAUUUUUUUAAUGUAUGUUUUCUCCUCCUACUGUACAUGUGCAUCCAAGCGUGAGCCCAUCAAGUGUUUGUGUGUGGUUCUUAGGGGUGAGGUGGCGUGGUGCUGGAGCAGAGGGGGUGACAGACAGUGGUAGCACCUCACACUUGACGUCCCAAAUAGAUGAAAGGAAUUUCUCCCAGAUUCUGCCUUUCCCGCCGCAGCCUGGAGCAGAAUGAGCACUUGUGAGGAUAAUUAAAAUUGAUGAUAUAGAAUGACACAGACAUGAUUUCUGCCUGCAGCAAGAGGUCUCUGAAGACUGUGCAGCCCAACUGUCAUGCCACCGCUGCUCUGUUUUACAUGACUGUUUCACCUCACUAAAUUGAUUGCAAGUAAAUACUCUAUUGAAUUAAAGUGUGAUUUAUCAGUCUGGGGAAUCCAGAUGAUCUCUUUUUUGAUGGCCGUUUUUCUUUCAUGGCCUUCAAUCUUGGGUAAUUUGGUUUAUUUUUGUGAGGCUGUCCUGGAUUUAAGCCUUUGUUUUUAAGAGUGUUCAGGUCAAAAAUAGCAGUAAAAACUGUUUGUGUCCAUUAAUCAAGACCUCCCUACAGUAAAACCUAAACAUUAUUUUCUUUAUGCUGCCUUUUAUAAAACGGAAAAGUGGUCUAAGACCAGACUAAACUAGAAGAGAUUCUCUGUCACAUUUAUUUCACCUUGUCUAUCAGGAAUAUAACUCUCUAUUUUGAAAAAAAAGUAGAAGUUUUGAUUCCUUCAAAAUGAUGAAAACUCAUUUAGGGGAGUCUUCAGUGAUGUAGUCCUUACGCUUGUGCACAGGUGAGAGGAUAAUGUCAAACUAAUUAUCUGACAGCGGAGAAUCAAAACAGGAGAGUCCUCAACUCCUGAUUAUCUCUAAGCCUAAUUCUUGGAAACUUCCAGAUCGUUCGAAUGUUGGUUUGUGAGAAAAUGAUCGACUGACUGUUUUAGAAUAUUUGAAUAUUCCUCUGAAUGCAAAAUAUUGAUGAACUGUCUGUAAAUACUUCAAACUGAUCUGUAUCACAGUCAGCUUCUGGGCUGAGUUUUGUGCUGGCUCAUGUUAAAUGGUCAUUUGCUUAUUCACGGCAAAUGUCAUCUUUAGUCCUGAGUGGGAACAGCUUGCUCUUGUUUCUGGUUUAUUUGAAGGAGCUUAACAGCUGUCAAUGAGAAGAGCAGAGGGACAGAAGGCUAGACAUUGGGCAGUAUGGUGGGGGGAUGGUCACUAAACCCCCACAAGGGUCCGUCUAGAGAUAAAUAUUGAUUGCGGACAGUUUUAAUUACUUCCUUAAAUUGAGCAAUUUUGGUUUUCCCAGUGGGCUCCCUGUGAAAAAUCUAUGUGGGAUUCUACGUUGAGGGAGAGGAAGAGUGUUGAGCAUGGCGUACCAUAAAUCACGGCAGAUACAUAAUUCAUUGGAAGCAUGUGAAAAGGACAAGACAAGAUGCUUUGGAUCAUUGAAAACAGCGUUUCCACAGGUCUGUCCAUGUAGUGAGAUCAGCCUCUUUGUUUGAGGAGAAAUUUGUUAACUUGUUCGACUUCCACCCUCAUCUAAAUGGUACCAAAUGAUGAAUGGGCCUCUGAACAGUUUUACUAAUACAUUUGAUUCCCAGGUUCGGACAGUUUGGAAGGACAUUUGGGCAAAACUUUUUUCUUUUUUAACCGAUUGAUGACAUUUUCUUAAUGAAGUGGUCAAAAAAAUAAAGGAACAAAGGUACAAAGAUUUUACACUAGCUUGUUGUCAUUGCAGGGGUGUGGGUAGGGCUGGGCGAUAUGGGAAAAGUUUAUCAUAAUAUAUUUUUUUCAUAUCAGUCUAUAUUGAUAUAUGUAUAAAACAUGAAAUUUAACUGUGCUUAUUGGUAGCAUGUCUUUUGCAAUACAAUAAGCUACUGCAUCUGUGAGGUCUUUGUGUCUCUUCAACAUUUUGUUGUAAGGCGUUGUGCUAAAGAAAGUGGACUGAAUGUUUCGGCUGCACAGGCGCCUUUGGCUCCUUGCUCCGCUUGGGGUUUGUAACCUUUUGCAUUGUGCGUGCUCUGCCGCAUGGCACUGCUUCAGGUGGUGAAAAAGAUUUGAGGUAUACCCCGACUUUGCGAGAACAUGUACUCAAGAUAAUUUGCAGUGCAAAUUACUCGGCUUCAUGUCCGACCUCAAAAAAACAAAAUACAUCCACACCACCGACGUUUUCAUGCCAGUGUUGUCGACGAUGUCAUCAUCUGUUGAGCCUUCAUCUGCAUUUCUGCUGGGGGUAGCACUCAUUUUCUUUUUUUCUCAUCGACAGUGCUGUCGGCUUUACGUGUUAAAGUGCUAUGGUUGCGUGCAGCUGCAACCUGCUACUACGCAGUUGUUUGCUACUUGGUUCUAAUUUAUUCGGGAGCAACUCCCCUUUUUAUUGGCUUUUCAUAUAGCCUACCAAAACAUGGCGACUAUCGAAAAGCAUAUUGACCAUGUUUCAUAUUGAUAUUGAGGGAAAGUAAUUUUCGAUACAUAUUGUUGGCGUUUUAUCGCCUAGCCCUAGGUGUGGCUUGUCUUUUUUUCAGUCAAAGUCUUCGUCCAUUUACCCUCAGAGGGCCAAGGUCAGUUUUGAACUCUGCUAGUGCAAAGACUUAUUUAAUUUUGAGACAACAUUUGGCGUGCCUGUUCUAUCCAAGCAGAAGAACAGUCAACCAGACAGCGCUCCAGUAUUUUCUGAAAACAGAACAUGGAUCAAACCUCGUCAUACCAGAGUCCUUGACAUCAAGGUAACAUUACUGCUAAUAGGUUUUGGUUUCAGCUUUAAAGAUUUCCUUCUUUCCUUUAAAGAUAAGCAUCACGAAGUGAAGAUGGUCACUCUGGAAAGCUGUUCAAGUCAUUACCAUGAUCUGUCAGUAAUACCAGGGUUUACCUGAUUGAGUCCAUGUCAAGAUAUCUGCACCUUUCAGUUCCUCUGAUGAGAAUUUACAUUGGUACAGUAUCAGCUUCAUCAUACAGGAUCUAAAGCCUCUUUAUAGCCACAUUUAUAUUAUCCUCCCAUCUUCCUCAGAAGCAGUCUAAAUCAUUGGUUGAAGUUGGUAUGCGAUGUAUAUGUACCUUGAUUGUUUUAGAGCAACUUUCUCCGACUUUGUCAAGGAAAUCUAAAUGUUCAAGAAAGUGUCUUCUUUGACUUCAGUCAGUGUGUGGCUGCUCUCUCUCUCUCUCUCUCUCUCUCUCUGUCUGUAUGACUGCAGCCUGUAAAUGGCAGUGCAUGCUUGUCUUUCCUCAGGACUGACCUGCAGGCUUUCUCUUGUCUCACCUGUGGGAGAAAAAACACAGCUUUCAUAUACAUCCACCCCAAAUGCAACCAGCCUGACCUGCUCCCCUGAGGCCCGGCUCUCCAUAUCCCCAAACAGAUUGGUCAGUAGAAUUGCACGAUUGAGGUUUCCGAGCAAGGCAUUACUCUGUUGUAUUGUAAAGACCCCUACACUGACCUGUGCAUGGAAGCAUAGGAAGACAGAUUUUUACACUCUGUUCAUCAGAGAUGCCACCAGCAAUCAGCACAGAGUUUUUCCCCUGUCCCUUUCUGGUAUUAAAGAGAGGAGAGUGAGAGGUAGCUGACUGAAGCACUGACCUUAUUCUGAAGGGCUGGGCUGUUAUAGUGAGAGGUGAGUCUGGUCAGCUGUGCUGCACCAGCCCAUUGUCUGUCCAUAUCAUGGUGGUGGCUGGGGAAUGCAUACAGAGUGAAGCAUUAAAUGUUGAUACUCUACAUGCAGCUUCUCAUUGGCUUUGGCCUAGUAGCACAGUUUCAGACUGAUGAAGCAGAGAAUACACUGUUCCAUAUAUUUUUAUUGGAGAUCAGGUUUUUUUAGUGUGAAUAAAAUACAACAGAUGUUCCAACUGAGAUUUCUUUUAGCCUGGUUACAACCCCUUUCCUGCAUGCAAGUAUUAGCCUGGAUCAAGCACUCCUGCAGUCCUUAGAAUUGAAAAAAGAUAAUUAAAAAAAACAAAAAAAAAAGCCAGCAUUGGUAACUGUAUGCAAUGCUUUUCCAAUAUUAAAUGUUAUACAAGAACUGAUUUUAUUAAAGGUUCCAGUAUUAUCAGUGUCACUCUUGUUGCCAGAAUUUUAAAAUGAUCCAUAUUAGCACUGGUAUACCAGCCAUAGCAUUAUUAACACUACAGAUGCAGUAUUUAUACAAGUGUAAAAUAGUGCAACUUAACUGUGAUAGGCCCUGGUGCAAAUAUUUCAAUGGCCCUCUUCAUUGCUCUAAACAGAAGCACAUGCUCAUUUAACUACAUGUAUAGACCAUAGAAAACCACUCCCAACAGUUUCAAAUUUAUGAAUGGAAUUAUAUUAUGGUACUGUAUAAUAGUAAUAAUAUGAUAUUUAGGAAGAGAGUCAUCCACACACAUUUAAUCUACUCUUACCUUACAGCCUGCAUUAAACCACCACAUUCUGGCUAAUUUUAACUAUAAACCGUUCAAAACAGCUUUAGACGACAGGAAGCUUACUUUGCUGUUUGUUGAAAAGCUUUAGACACAGAGUAAAAGAAAAGCACAGAAGCAUUAUGUAGACAUAUUAUUAAUGGCAGCUCCUGAUACAUUCAUAUGCAGACUUUAACUUUUAAAUUCCAUCAAUAACAGCACAGCAGCCAAUCAGAAACAGCCAGAGCUGUUGGUAAGUGAAUAAUAGUCAGAAGGUAAAAAUCUAGUUUGGUAACACUAGAAAUCUCACCUGCUCUCAUGAUGUCUUAGCUUAUACUGACAACAUGCUCCCACGUCAUGGUCAGCAGAGCGCCUCUCAUCUGAUGUACAUUUAAUGAUGACAGAUGUGGACGUUCAUCAUGAGCUCACUUAAGUGCAUGGGCUACACUAACGCCAGUGUUAGAAUCAACCUAGUACAGGUAUCUGAAACAGUACUGUUUCAAUGUUAUAAUGUUAGUGUUAUUAAGCAGACGCCUUUGUCUGAACAACAUAUAUUUAAGAGCAAGAACAACACAAGCAGGAUCUAGAUAGUAGGAAAUAAGAUAAAUAAAGAGCACAUCAGUGUGGUCACUAAAACAUGAAUACUAGUGCCUUUUUUACACUUUUUUUUACCUGAUUAGAAGACUUCAAGCUGUUUGUGUAGGUGUCUGUGUCUGUGUGGGUCUGUGAGUGUGUCAGUGUCUUUGCUGCAAUCAGUUACCCUUGUUUGAUGUGUCUGUUGUUAUGUGCUUUUUUGCCUGUUUCACAUUCUUAUUCAUGUGGGUGGAUCAGCAUAUAUACCAUACAUCAAUUGUGUAAACACUUUGCCUCAGCCUGCAGAUGACGAGGAUUCUUCUUAAACAAACUCAAAUGAAUAAAUAAUAUGUCAAGGAAGUGCGUAUACUCAGAUCCAUAAAUUACUACUGCAGGCCCCGCGCUGUCCUCCAUGACAUGGGUGUGAGUGAGAGUCCCGCCUGUGAUUAUGUCUCUCUUCUUCUUAUGCACCAGACUGACAAGCUUGUGUCAGAGAGGGGGGUGGAGGAAAAGACAAGCCCCUCGCUCCGAGUGCUAAUGGAUGAUUGGAGGCAGGAUAGGAGGCUUCAGUUCUCUCUUUCAUCCUGGCCUGCUUUUGACCUGGAGAGGCAGCAGUAAUCGGCCCGGCAGAGGGGUAAUCAUUCCCCACGUGCGGACUCUGAUAAGUUGGAACACCUUCCCCCGGCAGCAGAGAGGGAGCUCCCGCGGCCUUCCUCGGUUAUCGCUGUCCCCGGCACCCCUUCAAGAGGCUGCGUUUGCCUCCUCUCCCAGGCUCAAAGGCUCCAUCAACAGCGGCUCUCUGCUCGGCUUUCAUCUGACAGAGCACAUAAGCCGGUGAAAGGGAGGAAAAAAUAAACUGGGUUCUAUCUCUCAAAUUGUGAUCUUAUGAAUUCGAUUUGGUCACUUUUAAAAUGUAA